UUCGGGGCAACCUACCAAAGGUUGGUUAACCGUAUAUUUAAAGAUCAAAUUAGCCACAAUGUGGAGACUUAUGUGGACGGCAUUCUCCUCAAAAGUCUAACUACUUCGGCCUUCUUAUCCGAUGUAAGGGAGAUUUUCGGCAUCAUCUGAGAGUCAAGGAUGAUGCUAAAUCCUAAAAAGUACUUCUUCGGUGUCAUCUCGGGAAAGUUCCUGAGAUAUCUGGUUUCCGCCGAGGAAUCGAAACUAAUCCAAAUAAGGUAAAAGCCAUCUAGGACAUGUUUCCACCCCGGAAUCUCUAAGAAAGUCAGAGAUUAAAUGAUCGCCUAGUCGCUCUGAACCGCUUUUUAUCUCAGUCUGCCAAGAAGGUUUUGUUGUUUUUCAAGGUUCUGAAGAAAGCCGGCCAGUUUACCUGGACCGAGAAAUGCCAGCAAGUUUUCGACCAGAUGACAGAAUAUCUGCAUCACCUACCCACCCUCGCUUCACCUUGAUUGGAAGAAAGGUUGUAUCUGUAUUUGUCCGUGGCAGACGAGGCUGUCAGUGCAGUAUUAAUCCGAGACGAGGGUACUCAAGUGUCCGUUUACUAUGUCAGUUGAGUUCUACGAGAGCUGGAGACUCGAUAUACUCAAGUGGAGAAACUUAUGCUGGGGCUAGUUCAUGCAGCCCGGCAAUUGAAAUUCUACUUUCUCGCCCAUCCAAUAUCCAUGAGGACAAAUCAACCAAUUCGGUCGAUAUUGGUGCGUCCGGAGGCUUCCGGACGCCUUACCAAGUGGACUAGUGAACUGGGGGAGUAUGAUUUGUCGUACAAGCCACGCACAACAAUCAAAUCUCAAGCUCUAGCAGACUUUCUAGCCAAACUCACGUUCUCAGUGAGCCAAGACGCCACUUCAGAUUUGCCCGAGCCACAACAAUGGACGUUGUAUGUAGAUAUGUCUUCUAAUAAUGAAGGCAGUGGGACAGCACUGCUCCUGGAAGGUCCAUAUGGUGAGGUGUGUUCAUACGCACUUUAGUUUGAUUUUCCUGCCACUAAUAAUGAAGCCGAGUACGAGGCUUUAAUUGUGGGGUUUCAGCUGACCCGCAAACUCAGUGCUCGAUGAAUCCGAAUUCGUAGUGACUCCCAACUCGUAGUAUGCCAAGUGCUUGGUAAAUCUGAUGCCAAGGAGGAGACUAUGCAACGGUAUCUCUCUAAAAUUCACCAACUCACUAUGUACUUCGAGUCUUUCAAAAUUUAAAGAAAACCUCGAUCGCAGAAUAGGCGAGCCGAUGCUCUGUCUCGGUUGGCAUCCACUUCAUUCUCAACUCUCAACAAGGCGGUUCUUAUGGAAGUGCUGGCCGAACCAGGAUAUAUGGAGGAGAGGGCCUAUCCUGUACGCUCGAGGGACACGUGAAUGAGCUCAUUUAUCCUAUAUCUGAGCCAAGGAAUCCUUUUCGAUGACGGAGUUGAAGCGAGAAGAUCCAAAGAAAGACUGCUCGGUAUGCACUUUGGGAAGACGAGCUGUCUAUUUCAGUUUCACGGACGGAGAGAAAAUGAUAGACUUUACCCGUAAGUUCCCAAUCAAAAAGAUUCAAAACGCAUUUUUGAGUAUAAACCCCAAGAUUAGGACAGAAAAGCAAAAGAAAGAACAAGGCAGUUUCAAAAUUUCAGGUUCCUUACGAAUUUUUGAUUAAGGAAGAAAAAUUAUUUCAACACUACAAGCAUAGUCAUACUCAAACAUCGAGCUCAAAAUGAGAGGAAAGGCUAUGCACAUUCAAAGUGGAAACCACACCUAGAACUACUACCUAUGAACACAAAACUUCAGCUAAUGUUUCAAAACUUGCAGGCAAAGCCUGCUGCUUGCAAGAAACCAAUGCCAUGUUACGGCUUGCUGCUAUGCUGCACAUUGCUACUUUGAAUUGCAGCAAGCACAUACGUGGGAUACCGUUAAACAACAAGCGAAACUCAAAAGAGAAAACAAGCCAUUCCAGAAACUUCAGCAAUCCAAAAGAUCGAAUUUUUAUCAAAAUUGCUGCAACCAAUUGGCCUUGUUGCGGCCUGAUGCUACAUCGCAAACCACUCCCUGAUGCUACAUCAUUUACUGCCCUUAUUCAACACCCUUAUUCAACAGAACAACUCCAAUCAACAGCAAAAUAAAAGCGUGAACAUAACAACCACUACAACCCAAAGUAAAACAAACAGACGGAUUGAUCAACACUGCGGCAACAAAUUUGCGCAGGCCGAGAGUUUCAAAACUGUUGCAACAGGAGCUUAAUCUCUUCUAAAAACCCUGAUCUACCCAAACAUGAUAAAGGAUCCAAGAACAGAGGGGCAUAAAGCCCUAUUCACUAGAAAUUAACAACAUCAAUCAUAACCAUGACUACCCCAAAUCAGAAAAGUGUAAACCCUCAUACAACGCAUCGAACCUGGAAGCUACGAUAAAAAUUUUACCAAUAACCAAAGAUAGAGACAGACUACCUUCUAUUUCAGCAGCAGAGGUUUUGGACAUGGGAGAGUCCCUCCUUCCAGCUUUUUCUUGCUUGAAGCUCUUCCUCCGCAACCUGAAGCUUUUCCUCCUCUCAGUCUUUUCUAGCUUUCUUUCUUUUUAGGUUUUUCUCCAGUCCGCUACCUUUUCCUCAACCAUUUCCCGAAGCUUUCAUGCCCGUAACCCUAGCCGUUCCCCCUUGCUUCGUUUCUUUUCCUCAGCCCAAGCUCUCUCCUUUUUCUCACACCACCAGCCGUCACCCCUUCUGGCCGUUGUGUCUCUCGGUCUCCCUCCAAAACUCUCUCGUAGCUCUCUCCUAAUACCCUCUCUCAAUCUCCCCUCUUUGCCGUCAUUCGAUGCUCCCUCCUUUAUACCCAAUGGCCAGCCCCAAAACCUGAUAUCAAAGGCUCUCCGUGAACCUUAGUUUUUUUCUCUUUCCUUCCAGCCCUCCGAUCCUUUUCUUCCCGCAUGUUUUCUGCUAAUGAAUAUGGUACAAAGAAAGAGUUUUGAUCUUGUGUGGCUCACAGUGCAUGAGCUUGGUCUGUCCUUUUUUCUUUUUUUUUUUAAUAAUGAAAUAAUACAAAUAAAACAAGAUAAACAAAAUGCUAAAAGAAAACGUAUUUUGUGAACCUUUUUUACUUUUUUUCCUUUCUUUUUUUUAAUGCUAAAAAUGCCUAAAAAUAAAAUUAGGAGACUAAUGAGCAAACGUGGAAAAUAAAAUAAAACAAAAAAAUAAAAAAAAUAAAAAAAAUAAACAUUAAAAUAAAAAUAAAAAUUUGGUGUUUACAUUCUUCACAAGUUAAUUGUUGGUGAAGACUUCAAUUACGAGAGUUUCAUGAUUACUAGAGGCAGUAGGGACAGAGUCGUUGGGGCCAUAAGUGAUUACCUCAGCUAGCCGGGAACUGGGCUCGGCGGGGUCCAGGUCAGCUUGAAGGUAAGUUUUCUUCCGGGAGUUUUGGCUGUCACCCCUCGUUGGACCACCCUCAAUUUUGUUAAUAACCCCGGCAAUAUUCGGGCCAUAGUCGGGGGGCCUUUCGGUCUCCCUAUAGUCCCCGGGACCACGGCAAGGGUUUUUCGUCUCCCGCCUAUCUUUUCGAUGCGAGUCACCACGGUUGUCACGGUGGGAGCUGUUUCGGUUGAAACCUCCAUCCUUGCAGAUAAACUGGUUCAAAUGUCAUUGUUUGAGCAAGUUCUCAAUUUCUUUCUUCAAGUCAUUACAAUCUUCGGUCUCAUGCCCAAUGUCUCUAUGGUAUGCACAGUAAAGACAGGAAUUCCUCUUUUCCCUCUUUCCGGCUAUCUUCGAGGGGGCUUGGCCGAGGUUUUGUUGUUCCAUGACCGCAAGAAUGUGGGACCAACUAGUAUUGAGGGGAGUGAGUUUGGUAUCCGAGACAAAUGGUCUCCCCUUGAAAAUUUUGUCGAAAACAUUGCGACGGUCCUGAAAUGGAUUGGACAGGCUGCUAGGACCUUGUUCACCUCGACUAGUCUUUUUCUUCUUUCGGGACUCCUGUCCCGUGCGAGCUGCUUGAGCCUUCCUCUUCAUGCGGUUUAGAUCUUCGUUUUGAAUACCUCGGUCUACCCGUUCUCAGAGUUCCCGAAGUGUUCGGGGGUAUUCGGUAUAUCUCUGUGUUGAAAGUGCCCAUGAUUAAUCCAUUGGUGAAAGCGGCUAUGGUCAUCUACUCAUUUUGAUCGGGUAUCCGUAUGUUCUCAUCGUAGAACCUCUGCACGUACUAUCGUAGGGACUCCCCGGAAGCCUGUUGUAUAUUCAGAAGAUAGGCCGAGGUCUUCAUCACUGGGCAAGAUGAAACAAAGCGGUGGAUGAACCUGUCCACAAGCUCAUCUAGCGAGGGAAUGCUCCUAGGUUCUAAGUUCCAGAACCAUUUUCGGGCAGUUCCCUGCAGGAAAAUGAGAAAUGCUCGGCAAAUUACAGCGUCGGGGACGCAGUAUAACCGAAAUGCCGAGAUGAAGGCAUGGAGAUGAUCCUCGGCCAUCGUGGGGCGGCAACGCUGGAAGCUUGAAGUUGGGGGGAACCAUCUCUCCGUUAAUGUCAUCGGUAAAGGGCAGAGCCAUCAUGUAGUCGGUAGGCAACCCCUCAGGCCGUCGGCGUGUGUCCUCAGUUCGUCUCCCCAGUAAACCCCGAGAGAACGCCCUGAAAAUGGAGGUGAUCUUGAAGGUGGCCUUGGAGGAGGCACGCUUUGAGCAGCUCCGGGCAAUGUGUGCAUUGUCAGAGUCCUCUCUCGAGGGUACCUCGGGCGACUUUGCCAAUCUUCUUUUAGAAGAUUCGAUUUUUUCCUUUCCCUGCCUCUUGAAGUACUUCCCCAGUUCCUCAAAGAUAUUGGAGUUGUCUACCACAAACUCGGUCAUCCAGACGAUGGCAUCUUCGUUUGUGGGUGGGGCCCUUGGGGACCCUUGCUCUUCAGAGAGUGAUCUUGCUGAGCAGCUGAGCUUGGCUCAACUCCGAUUGAGGGAACUCUUCUACUCCUGGAUCGUGUAGGUCUCAUCGAGAGUAUAUACGUUCCCACAGACGGCGUCAAUUGAAGAGGUGUCUUCUUGACCUAAUUCAGUUCACUCUUGUGAGAAAUGAAAUUCGAAAAUAGGUUCGAUGGUCCGAUGUGAGAGACGGGGCUUUAUCCCUUGGGAUCACUCCGACGAUCAAAUUAGUUUAGUGAGAGAAAAUGAAGAGUAAUGAGCAGGACGAACGUAACAGUAACUUUACUUGCGUGGAGAGAGUGAGGAAGUAUUUAUAGGGUGAGGUUAGAGGGAAGGACAGCAGGUUUAAACCACUGGGUCCCACCUCUUGCACAUUACGGCUCUGUUCUGCACCCGCGAACUCUGUUCCUGACAUGCGGUAGUGGCUCAGGCUUUUUGCCAGGUGGCCAUGUGUUCCCGAUAAAGGAUCCUCGUGGUUUCAGUUAAAGUAGUGACUCUUGAUGACAUGUCAGGCCGGCUGACAUCACCCGCGUGCAGUCGAUAUAGAACGCCUACUUGGGGUAUAAGAGUCGAGGUCAACAGAAUUGCCGUGAUGAGAUACUGCCGAGGUCAAAGGAGGAACCACGGUCACGUGCUAUCACUUCGGGUGGGUCGAGCCGAAGUGACCAUCCUUAGUAAGAUUUUGAAAUUUUCUUUGACAAACUGUGAUUUUACAAAAGCCAAAGUUUGGGAGGAAGAAUGGAUCAGAUGAUUCCAGGGAGAGAAUGAAAGUGAAAAUUUUCGAGUUCGAAUUCUUUCACUUAUGUUCAAAAAAUGAUGAAGGAUAGGGGUAUGGCUGCCUGUGGACAUCAAAGUCCGAUGACGAUGAUGAUGAGGUCUGAGGGGAUUGCUUGCAAAUUUGGGACGAGGAGUAUUGAAAUUGCUCUCUCUAUCGUACGGCCAUUAAACAUCGAUAACUUGAAAUCAAGUAGUGGACUGUGACGGUGUUUUUUAUCUCAAUGGGCAUUCAUAGUUUUCUCAUUGUUUUUUCUUUCGGGACGAAAUAACCAUUCAUCUGUGACUAUGACCAGGUGAUGAUUUCUGGAUCGAACAGACAUUGGGCAAGAAAAUUUUUUUGUAACUCCCAUUAAGUCCAAUUCUGGCCCAAGUUGCCCAAUUUGAAGUAACGAAGCAUGCCUUGUUGGAUACUACGCUCAUAAACAAAUUUUCAGUUUAGUUUCCUAUUCCAACAAUAAAACAACUCUUUUUUUUUAUGUUAGCAGUCCAAAAAAGGGUUGUAAAUUUAAAGGGGUUUUAUUUCUACAAAAUCCUCACAAGUUAGGAAUGUAAAUAAGUCUAAAGCAUCCAUGUAUUAUUCCAAUUAGAAACAAAUAUUGUUGAAAAAUCCUUUGCUCCUUCAAGGGAUAAUUUCCUUUCUUCUUUUCUAAUUUAGGGCCAAACAUCCAAAUGAAAUGCAUGAAAAAGGGGUUUACUUAUUUGGUACCUUUUAAAACAUACAUAGUGAGCAUACCAUUUAAUGGCAUUUUGGGGCAACAAAUGUACGUUGGCUGUCAACACAGUGAACGGAAAAUAAAGCAGCCAUGCUUUUACAAGAAAGUUGAAUGCCAGAUAUGAUGCAACCUUACUCAAGAUUGGAAACAAAACAAUCAGCAACAAUUUCUAUUAGAUGCUAUUCCUUAGACCAAGCUUAAGAAUUAAAGUUGGGUCUGUCUUCAACCCAUAAGACAGAAACCAAAACUAUUUAAGUAUCAAUUUGCUGCCUAUUAAGAUGCACAUAACAGAAAAUGAAGCAGAUGUUCUUCUGAGGAGGUGGAAUGCAGAAUAUGAUGCAAUGUUAUUGCCAUUGAAAACUGUGUCCUAAGUUCACAAUGAGCGGAACUGCAAAGAUAAAGGAAUAUAUUUGCACAAGGAUUCCCAGUAUGGAAUUUGGUUGAAGGCCAGUGGGCCUAGGAGCCCUCAUAAAAGGCAGUCGACAGCAGAACGGGCAGCAAGUAUGAGGGAGAAGGAGAGGUCUGAUCAAUCGGAAAACAGGGGACAGAGACAGUACUUGUUGACUUGGGGGUCUGUGGAGGUAGGCGAGAAGUGGGGGAUUCAGUGCAGACAGAGAGAAGGAUGGAAAGGGAUGGGGGCAUAAGAGGUAGAUCAGAGCAGCAGAGAAAAGGGGAUGGGGCAAUAGAGGGGGGAGGGACACAAGGGAGGGAGGAAGAAGGGCAUGAAGUGACGGGGGGCGAAUUGAGGGAAGUUAUGAUAAAGGAAGAUACUGGUGAGGAGCAGGAUAUAAUGUGGAUUGAUGGAUGCCUGGAAAAGGAGAUAUCACAAAGAGGGGUAGGGCAACAGGAAAGCUUAGGAACUGAGGGUUUUUUAAGUGGAGUUAGCAAAGGGAAGGAAAAUAAAGUUGGCAAGUAUAAAGGGAACAGGGCGUGGAAAAGAUUGGUACAGGAGAUGGGAAGGAGGAUGCCACUUACUGAUUGUAAUGGGAUCACAGCAAUGGAAACGGAUAAGGGGAAAAGGAAAAAUAUGGACAGGGAGGGUGAUUGGAGGGAAGAUAGUAAGAGUGACCAUAGGAAACAAAGGAAACUGGUAGGAGAGGGUCAGGGGAAUGAGCCAGUAAAGGGGGGGAGCCCAACCUGAAUGGGGCUCCACAGUGUCCAUGAGAGUCAUGGUGUGGAAUUGUCGAGGUGCGGGAAGACCCUUGACAGUUUCCCAAAUGGAGGAGGUAAAUAGACUCCACUUCCCAGAGAUAUGGUUCUUGGCAGAGACUAAAAAUAAGAAGUGUUACAUGAACAAGUUGAAGCUGAAAUUAAAGUUUGAUAAUUUGUUUGUUGUGGAUCCAGUAGGAAGGUCAGGGGGCUUGGCUGUAAUGUGGAAAAAGGAUGUCCAGGUUAAAAGAGUUCUAUACAUGAAUUUUACUAUAGAGUUAUGCAUUGAGGACCCGAGUAAAAAGAUUUCUUGGUGGUUGGUGUGCGUAUAUGCUAGUACAUAUGAUGUGACUAGGGGGCAGCAAUGGCAAAUUAUUGGGAAUAGGAGGAACUUAUGGGGUAAUAGAUGGUUGCUGGUUGGGGAUAUGAAUGACAUAGUAAGUAAUGGGAAAAAAUGGGGAGGAAUACAGAGAUCUGAAAGGAGUUUUAAACAAUUUCGAGAUUUUAUUAGUAUAAACGAACUGAUAGAUAUUGGAUUCGAAGGUAAGCCGUGGACUUGGAGCAAUAAUUGGGAUAAUGAGGGAGAAGUGAGAGAAAGGCUGGAUAGAAUGCUUGGGAGUAGGGCAUGGAGGAUGAAGUUUGAAAAAGCAAAAUGCUAUCAUAUUCACAAUGAAGCUUCUGAUCACUGUAUGCUCCUUCUACACACUGAACCAAAAGAUAGGAACAAGAAACGAAGGUUCUGGUUUGAUAGGAGAUGGUUACAGUAUAAGGAGGUGCAUGGGGUGGUUAAGAGGGCUUGGGGUAAGGAGCAGAUGGGAUCGAGGUUGUUUCAGGUUAAAAAUAGAAUAAAGGAAUGUAGGAUGGCAUUGUUGAGCUGGAAUAAGAGCUUGAAGAACAAUGCUAGGUAUGAGAUUGAUAGGAUUAAGCAAGAAAUCCAAAAGGUGCGAGAGAAGAGCACCCCAGAUAGGCGACAAAGAUUGUGGGAAUUAAAGAGGAGGCUAGCUGAUGCAUACAAGAAAGAAGAAUUGUUUUGGGGGCAAAAAGCUAGAGUGAACUGGUUGCGAGAAGGGGAUAAGAACUCUAGUUAUUUUCAUGCGGUUGUGGCUGGGAGGAGAAAGAGGAAUACUCUCUAUUACAGCAAUGCAGAAGGAGGGAGGAGAGUGGUGUAAAGAUGAGGAGGAAGUGGUGGGGGAGAUAAAUGGAUACUUUGACAGGCUCUUCACAUCUUCCAAUCCUUGAGGAAUUUGCACCAAUCAUUCAGUGUAUCCCACAGGUCAUUACUGAUCAUAUGAAUGCAUUACUGACCAGGCCUAUAACAGAAUUGGAGGUCAAAAAAGCUGUCUUCUCUUUACAUCCUAACAAAGCUCCAGGUCCGGAUGGUAUGAGUCCAGUUUUUUUUCAAAAGUUUUGGAAUAUUGUUAAGCUAGAUUUGAUUGCUGCUAUUUCUAGUUUUUUCCAUUCUGGUAACUUGUUAAAGCUAUAAACGAAACAUGUAUUACUCUGAUCCCUAAAACAGAUUUCCCUACCUUAGUUUCUCAGUUCAGGCCUAUCAGCUUGUGUAAUGUGAUAUAUAGAGUCAUUUCUAAAAUCCUAGUGAAUAGGGUAAAACCUUUCCUGACCUGUUUUGUUAGUGCUAAUCAAUCCGCUUUUAUUCCUGGAAGGCAUAUUACUGAUAAUAUUAUGAUUGCACAUGAGCUUAUCCACUGUUUGAAUAAUAGGAGGGGUGGUACGAAUGCUUUUAUGGCUAUUAAGCUUGAUAUGGCUAAAGCCUAUGAUAGGGUAGAAUGGGGAUUCCUGGAAAAGAUCAUGUCGCAGAUGGGGUUUUGUUCUGUUUGGAUUAACUGGAUUUCAAAGUGUGUGUCUUCUGUGACAUAUAGUUUUAAUAUCAAUGGGGAGAAAAAGGGUUUUGUCAGACCUUCUAGAGGCCUUAGGCAAGGGGAUCCAUUGUCCCCUUUCUUGUUCCUACUGGUUUCAGAGGGGCUUUCUAAAUUGCUAAACAUAGCCAUGAGGGAACACAGGAUAUCAGGUUUGAAAAUUACUGCGGCAAGCCCUGCUCUCUCACACCUUUUGUUUGCAGACGAUACCUUAAUUUUCUGCAGGGCAACUCUAGAGGAAGCUGGUAGAGUGAGACAACUGCUGGAGACGUAUGGGAAAGCAUCUGGACAAUCUAUCAACACGGAAAAGUCCUCUGUGCCGUUCAGUAAGAAUACUGAGGAGAGUAGUAUGGAGGGGAUAUUGCAGGAAUUGGGAGGAAUGAAGCAUGUAAGACAGAGUAGAUAUUUAGGGCUCCCUGUAUUAAUUGGGAGGUCUAAGGCACAAGUGUUCAACUAUAUAAGGGAUAAGGUGAACAACAGGAUAAAGGGAUGGAAGGAAAAGAUGCUCAGCCAGGCAGGUAAGGAGGUAUUGCUAAAGUCGGUGGCUAUGGCAAUGCCAAACUAUGCUAUGAAUUGCUGUAAGCUACCCGUGGGACUAUGUAAAGAUAUAUGUAGGGACAUGGCUAAAUUCUGGUGGGGGAGCAAAGAAGAUGAGAAACGAGUGCAUUGGAUGGGAUGGAGGAAGUUAACUCAGGUUAAGGGGAAGGGAGGCCUGGGGUUCAGGGACUUGCAUGAGUUUAACAAAGCAAUGCUAGCAAAACAGUUGUGGAGGAUCAUAACCAAACCAAACUUAUUGGUUAGUAAGGUACUGAGAGGUAAGUACUUCAAGGGGGAGUCCAUAUGGAAGAUGAAGCCUAGGAAUUCUGAUUCAUGGAUGUGGAGGAGUGUGGUGGGUGCGAGGGAGGUGCUGGAAACAGGAGCUAGGAAACGAGUAGGAGAUGGAGGCACUAUCAACAUAUGGAAGGACAGGUGGUUGUUAGGUAAGGACCAUGGUAAGGUAACUACAACAAGGCCGCCAGAAUGUCAAAUGCAGAUGGUACAGGAGUUGAUACAAGAUGGAAAAUGGAAUAGAAUACUAGUGGAGAGAACCUUUAAUGAGGCAGACUGCCAAAGGAUCUUGGCUAUUCCACUGAGCUUACAUGGAGGAAAGGAUAAACUUAUAUGGCCUCACAGUAAGAAUGGGGAGUACACUGUCAGGUCAGGAUAUGUGGUGGCUAAGGAACUGCAGCAAGGGGAGACAGAGGUAGGGGUACAGGGGGGGAGUAGUAGGAAUGAACAUGGCUCUGAGGUAUGGAAGAUCCUAUGGAGUUUUAAUAUGAAACAUAAAUUAAAGCAUUUUAUAUGGAAAGCGCUGCAAAAUAUAUUGCCAGUGAAUGAGGUGAUCAAGCGAAGGAUUGGAAGAGGAUCAGAGGUGUGUGCCUGCUGUGGGGAGCAACCUGAAACACUGGAGCAUAUGUUUUUCUUUUGCAAACAUGCAGAGUCUAUCUGGAAAGCAUCACCAAUACAGUGGGAUGGUUUGCUAGAAUUCAGGAAAAGCUUCUGGCUAUGGUGGAUUAGUUUAAUGGAGGCAAAGGCAAGGAAUGAGGGAGUGGAACACAUCUGUCUCACGGUGAACUUGCUUUGGCAAAUCUGGAAGUCUCGUAAUAGGCUUCAGUUCAAUAGUGAGGUAGGAUGUCCAGGUAGAGUGGGGAUGAAGGCAGUCCAGGAGUGGAAUGAAAAUGAGGUAGCCCAGUGUAUGGAGAGAGGGAAGGUGCUGGAGGAAAAAGAUAAGCAGAGAGCUUCAAUGGAAUGGCUACCCCCUGCAGAGGGGUUUGUUAAGAUGAACGUGGAUGCAGCUAUGAACACAGCAAAGGGAAUAAUAGGGUGGGGUGUGGUUGCAAGACAGGUGGAUGGGGGAGUGCUGAAAGCUUGGGCUGGAAGGGACGAGAGGUAUACUGAAGCAGCGGUGGAGGAAGCUACUGUCAUUAGAACAGCACUUAUUAAAGCUGGAAGGAUGGGAUGGAGGAAGGUUGAGGUCCAAUCUGAUUGCAAAGGAGUUGUGGAAAGUAUCAAGGCAAGAUGCAGGAGGGACCCGAAAGUGGGAACAAUUGUGGAAGAUAUUCUUAGACUGAGGGACACGUUUCAGCAGUGUUACUUUUCCUUUGUUAAUAGGGAAGGGAACUGUGUAAGUCAUAAUCUGGCAAAAUUUGCCAUGCAAAUGACAAGUGAUAUAGAGUGGGAAGAAUCUUUCCCAGUUUGGCUAGUAAACUUAGCCAAGAAAGAUGUAAGAGCAGUUGCUCAUCUAGUGUAACUUUGACUAUCAAUGAAAGCUGUUAUCGUUUGGAAAAAAAGAAAGCUGUGUCCUAAGACGGCAAACAAUGGUUUGUGACUGGAAAGGGGGAGGAAAAAAGUGAGUACAGUCUCCUCAGCCAGGAAAAUAGUGUGAAGUUAUUUUGGACAGGCAUCAGAAAUUGUUGCUGGGAUGAAAUAACCAGCAUAGCAGACACAGAUCAAGUUUUAGACAAAUCACCAGAAGUGUCUGCCUACAUGGCUAAUGACAUGCUGGAAUGAAAUAAUGAAAACAAAGCCCUGUAUCCGCUGCAUAAACAUUGCGAAUAUGCAAAUCAUGUUUUGGAGAGUCAAAAGGCUUGCAACUGCAUUUAGAACACUUUCAGAGAGAACUUAAAGGUUACUCGCACCAAAUUAGGAUAGAUUGAGCGGGAAACGUCAGAUUAGUAGGAAGACAUCCUAGACAAAGUAAUAAGCACAAAAUCCAUAACCAACAGUACAAAUCUUCCAUCAGAUUAUUGAUCCUAAUCUAAUGACUCACUACAUGGUGCAACUUGUAGCAAAAUAACAAAAGACUGCUGCCAUGUGCUCGAUUCAAAGUGUACCAUUACCAAGUUCUUAACUUCCAAAUGAUAAACUCAAAAACAAUUCACAAUGCAUUUGUUCUUUGAAACUAAGCCAGAGGAACAUACAUCGUUCAGUUUUUGUCUACAAUAGCUCGUCUCAUCCAAGGCCAAAAUUUAGUGUAUUUGUUGGAAAAGAUCAAGGAAGUGUAGGAAGCUCCAAUCUGUUGAAUGAGAAGAAACUGACGCGUCCAUGAUCAACAUUACAGAAUUUUAGAGGGCAGCCAUGACAACAUCUCUCAAGUUCCUCAAUCUCUUGUUUUGACGGAGGAUGGACACUAGCACAAGAAGCAGAUUUCGUUAUUAUUAAAUACAAAAAAAAAAAAAACACAAACCAGGACACAAAAAGCCCAUCACCUUUUCAAGUUCACGUCAUAAAAGGAGAGCUUGAGAAAAGGGGUUCAUAUUCUGCAUACUAACAAUGUUCAAGGGAAUAAAGGUGAGGGGCUUAGUGUAAUUUAGAAUUAAAUUUAAAAAAAGGCAAUCUUGCUUGAAUCCCCUAAGAAACUUCUAGUUUCUGAGUCUAUGCAUUCAAGCAUGUAUCAUCAGCCACUCAACACAGACACCAUAUGCACAACAUAAGUUUUCUGCAGAUUUAAACAGAAUAAGUUAUAAAGCUCCGAAUUAGAAUUACCUUGUAAGGCAGAGGAUGAAACAUGGGGUGCCAGGAGAAGACUUCUUAAACUUGCUAUUAGGAGGGUAAACAUCAAAUAAUGGUCUAACUUCAUUAAUGUCCAUGCCGUGAAACAUCUCAGUAAUAAUAAAAUUCUCUCUUGACUCUCCAUUCACUCUCUCAUUUACAUCUGUUGAAUCUUGGGCACUAGAAUCAGUCUUCAUUGUCCAAGGUAUACCAUGCCGCCCAACAACAUAACCAAGAGCUUUUAAGUGUUUAUAUGCCUCAAAAGACUCCCAUGAGAAUCCAUUCUUCUUUUCUUGGACUUUAUUAUAAAUAUAUUUCAGAGGAAAGGGUGUAUUGUCCUCAUCCAGAAGAUACAAAGCUCCAAUUUCAGCCAAAAACCUACAAAAGAGAAACAACUGAGAUUAUCUUGAAAUACCAAAAAUGCAGCGAUUAAGCGAUACUAAUAAUAUCUUAUGUGCCACUGCUGGUCCUUUUCUACUUCAGUAGAUAUGGCUCAUAAUAAAGAAAUUAAUGAAAUCCUCAGGUUGAGCAAAUUGGUGCUAAACAGUCGACUACCUAAUUUGAAAUCAAACAUAAACCAAUCUUUUAUUUAUCAAACACUGAUGUGUAGCUUAAUUCUUAGAGAAUGUAAAUAUCAAGAAUGCUCCAUGAUUGCAAAAUACAGCUGUCUGCAAGAAUUAAAACCCUCACUCUAGUGAAAUAUUCUGUGAAAUUCAAGCUUUUGGAUGAAUUAAAUGGAAAUAUAAAUGCUCGUUUUUUUGAUGUUAUCUGAGGGAUUAAGGAUGGCAUUCUUUCAUCUUAAUUAGCAUAUCACCAUUUUGAACAAAUUGAACACUGUCAGAAUGCAGUGGAAGUGGUCUAAAUGAGAGACUAGCAGUAAAAGCAAAAAAGUAUGGUCUUUCAGAAUACCAAAGAUUACUCAAAGAUGUCACACUAUGAAAUCAAUGCACCAAACUUCAGAGCUUCAUUGAACCGAGAUGGCUCAAGUUAUGAAUGUAGCAAGCACCUAAAGUCAAACAAGAGAAGUGAAUUUCAAACUUAAAUUAUUAACCAAGCUUUUUUUUUUUUUUUUGGUAAUGAACAUGUCACGCGGUAACAUACAAUGACAGGUAACAGAAACUCAUACGUUGCAUCUCUCCUAUAGUAAAGCCACCAUAAGUUAACUAACCACAUCUGCGGUCAUGUUUAUCAAACACUAAAUUCAUUGCUCACUUUUCAACCUUGAAGGAACCUUACUUAUAGAAAAGGAUACAACGCCAAUAUUAGCCAGGCUAUUCAGAAGUUAUGUUUUAAAAAAGUUCAUAAAUUUAGUAAGACAUGCAACAAACCAAGUGCUAAUAAAUUUAUGUUUUAAAAAAUUCCAUAAAUUUAUUGUGUCAAGCCAAGUGCUAAUAAAAGAUAUACUUAGCACCAACUCAGAAGCAUCAAGACAUGCAAAAUAUGAUCAUUUUCUGAUUUCUUUGGUCUCCUGUACUGAUUGAAUAAGGAUGAAACAAUUUAAACAGAAAGGAACCCUGAAUAUGUCGACAUAAAGAAACAGAAAUCACAUCACCUACAAAGUUUCUUCAAUAGAGCAGUAAAUUUUGCCUCUACGAACUAUUCCAGUACUUGUCCACAUCCCUCCCUUCCUCUCCACCACCUCAGCCAUUUCCAAAUCAUCAAUCCACCGUGCUUUUGACACAUCUUUCCUUUAAGGGGCAACAAAAACAACCAUUAAUUGCACAAAGUCAUCUGGAGGAACUUCAUCCACAAAACCAACCCAAAAAGGAACAAAAAAAACUGAUAAACAAAUUAUAGGCACCUAAAUUGCAACUUGGGUAUGUCACCAGAUGCAUAGAAAUUCUCCUCAUCAUUUAAGUCAUCCAAGCAACCCUCAGAAUCACUUGUUUCCGAGAAAUUGGCCCAGCUUUCAGCCUCCAUUACUCAAACUGCCUAAAGGGUUCCAAAAUCAAAAUUUCAAACAGAGAAAACAAAGGUAAAAAGAACAGAUUUUGCUCCAUCAACAAAACAACGAAACGUGCUCAAAGCAAUCAAUAACCGUAAUAUCCAAAAAUCUUAACUCAAACAAAGCGAUUGAAGGGCAGAAAGAACAUAUUUUUUCUUCAUAAACAAAACCAAAAAAGCGCAUUCGGAAACAACACCUCUUUUCCCAUUUCUGCCACUGUAUCUUUUUCUUUGUUUUUGACCCUUUUUCCCCCCCUAUCGAAUAUUGCAGCAUUAAGUUUGUUCUCGUAUGUACUAAAAAUAAAUAAUCACAAGCCAACAUGAAAAUGUAACACAUCAAUGUAAGAAAAUUACCAACUAAUCAAAGAAGUAUAGCAUUACCAGAAAAUUUAUCCAAAGAAAGAAACAAAACUAUAAGAAGGGGAAAUUUACCAAUGACUAGUAACUCAAUAGAUUACUGAAGGAGAGGGAAUUGCAAGGAAGAAGAGGAAGAAAGGCAGCAAAUCGGAUCGGGGCUUCGGUAGCCACAUUUGGUAGUGUUUUUUUUUUUUUUUCCUGGCGGGACAAGGAGAGGUAAUAAUCAGUAGAUAUGAAGGCGUAUGCUACGGGCAGGUCCGGAACCUGAUAAUUUAGAAACAUGUCCGGUUAUUUUCAGUUUUUGCACUUCUAUGAUGAAUUUUAAGGGCAAUUUUCAUAAUUUGAGGAUUCAGACCUAAAAGAUCUUUUUUCUCGAGAAAAAGUAUUGUAUAUGUAGAAAAACCUAAUUUAGUCUUUAAAUCUUUAAAACCUCACAAAUUGAUCGUCACAUUGCGCAAUAUGAUGAUAAUACAUGCACCAAAAGAUUAACUUUUGUCAAUAAUAGCUAGACUAAAAAAAAUUCAAUCAAAGAGUGAAUAAUUAUUUAAUUUCUACCCUUGUGAAAUAGUGAACUGAGAAUUAUAUGUUUGGGCGGAUUUAGGUUUGUUUAAGUUUGCGGUAGUUUAUUGAAAAAUAUUUUUUCAAUAAAGUUUUUAAUAGAAGUACUUAUUAAGUAUUUAAAUACUUUUAUGUAUAUUAUUUGGAGAUAUAGUUCAAUAAGUACUUAUUGUAUUAAAUAAUGUGUAAUUCAAAAAAUUUUAAAUGUAUUUAUCUCUUUAUUUGUUUUACAAUAUAGGAUAAAAUGAUUAAAUUUAUUAUUUUAUUUUUAAAUCACAAAAUCUACUCUGAAAACACUAAAUUUGAUCUUGUGCUAAAAAUAUUUUUAACACCAUAAGCUCUACUCCUAAUUUUAUGGGAUGAUAUUUACCAAACACCUUAAAAAUAUUUUUAACAACUAAAAGUGCUUUUUUAUCGAAAGUAUCGUAACCGCAAAAGAUGGUUUAACCGCAAACGGAGCUUAAAGCUUAAAAACAAUGCAAAAAUUCUAAUUUUAGUCUUUAAUCUUUACAACCCUACAAAAUCUAAUUGAGCUUCUAGCUAUGACGAGGAUUAAGAUGGUAUAAGUUGGGAGAUUAAGGACUGAAUUGCAACUCAAGAAUCACGACAAGAGCAAAAAGGACAAAAUUGAGUGUGCCAAGUGGGAAUGAAUAAGAAAUUAGGGGUGUAAAAUGGAGUUGGAUUCCAAUACUCUCCAAUGUCCCACAUCGCCUCCAGCUUCCCAUACCCCUUCUAUUCGGCGUCUAUAUAUACAGCAUUGCUCCAACGAUAACAGGGUCUUAUUUUUCGAUUACACGAUAUAUAGCUGAGAAAGUUCUUGCAAUAAAACUGAAAAUAGUGCUCUAAUAAGACGUUAAAAAAAAAUUUAUCUUUAAUACCCACUUAACAUAUAUGGGGACGGAUAAGAUUCAAAUUGAAAACAAGAGUAGGCCUUGGGCUGAUCUUCCUCGGGACAUCUUGAGAAUCAUCAAGAACAAAUUACCAUGCCUGUCAGAUAAAGUGAGUUUUGAUUCAGUCUGCAAGAACUGGGGCACUCCUGGUGCUAAACUUCCAUGGGUUAUGACUUAUUACCAUAACUAUACCCGAUGGCGUAGUAGAUCUACAGACGAAUCCUUUGAAUGUCAGCUUUUCCACCCACAGGAUCCAACAAGGUUCACUUCUGCAACUGUGCUCAUCAAAAAUGAGAUUUCUUCUGCAGCUAUCCGUGAUAUAACCCCCAUAUAUAGUCCCACCUGUCCCGUAUAUAGUCCCACCAGUCCCGGAUAUUGUCCGAUCAGUCACGGAUACCCCAUAUAUUGUCUGACCAGUCCUGGAUUAUAUCCUCCAACUGGUAGGUGCAUUUGUCACGAUGGUAGAUGUCCGAAAGUCUGUGCCUCCAAACAGGGUUGGUUGCUUAUAGUUACAGCUGAUUAUCUAGGGUCUGCCAAGAAAAGCAUAUUCACCUUCUUUAAUGCAUUUUUGGACCUUGUUAUCUCGGUGCCCAAGUUCGCUUAUGAUGUUGAAUUAGCCACUUUCUCCACCAUCCCUACUUCUCCAAGAUGCGUAAUCUUCGUUCUGUAUUGUUGUUCACUGGGGAAAACACGUGUUGGGACGUAUAAAAUUGGUGAUGUAUAUUGGAACACACAAGUAAUCGCGGAGAGAAAGGAUGAUCCUCAAGCAAAGAGCAUUUUAUACGUUAAUGAACUACUCUAUUAUAUCUUCCAGGAUGGAAUGCUGGGAUGUUACAGUUUUGAGAAGAAUCGCAGUAUUAUACUUACUGAACAUUUUCCACGACAUUUUUCUGUAAGCUCUGUGUAUCACUUUCACUUGUUUGGAUGUGAUGGAGAGGUUCGAUUGGCAACUGCAAGCAAAAAUUGCGAUGAAUGGUGCAUUUUCAGAUUCGAUCACAAGGAAAAUCCAAUGGCAUGGAUUGCUGAGAAAAGCUUGGGAGGGGGUGCAGCAUUGUUUGCAAGUCCUACAUCAUUUGUUGUCCGAGAUCUAGGGGAUGCAGCGGACCUUGCGGGCUGUAUUUGCUAUUUUGAUGAUGAAACUAAGGAAGUGAAGGUUUUUUCUUUGAAUGAUCCGCCAAUAUUGAAGAGUCCAGAGUGUAAACCUCUUGAAGAUAUACGUACGAUGAUCAAAGCACUGAAAACCUUGGGUUCUGAUGGAGUGACAAUUUGGAUCCAGCCUCCUAGACCUGGUAGUAUUCGAGACUAAUUUGUGUUCAUGGCUCUCAAUGCCAAAAAAUAACAUAAAUAGUGUUUAAUCUAUUUUCGUAAUUUUUUUUUAUGGCUUUCUUAUUAUUGUGGACUUUUUUUUUUUGUUUUGAUCUGAUUUCAAAUACAGUUGAUGAAGAAUUAUCUAUAUGUGGAGAAAUUGUUUAUCAAUUAUCACCUAUGCUUGGCAGCUAUACGUACAUCUGAUGUGCCAAAGAGCAAGAGGUUGUGAACUUGUGAUGUUCACUUUAGAAGUUAAUUUGGUUACUAGGUACACACAUGUAAGGGGCAUCUCUACUAAAAUUCUUGUUGCAUCGUCCCUAAUAAUAAGAAUGUCCAGUAAUCAUUUACAGCUGAAGAUUGGUCUGUGGUGCGAAAUUUAGUAUCUUUGCCCCUAAUACUUCACAUAUCACAAAUUCACAAUGAGUAUGUGUGAAACAGAACUUUUCAAAAGUAUACCAAAAGAUUUUUUUUAUUUUUAUUUUUUUGGAAGAAUUGGGGAAGCACUUCUUUUGAGUUAUAUGUAUAUAUAUAUAGAAAAAUGUUAUUUACACAUUUAUUUUUGUUAAUCACACUUCUACUGUCCUUUUAGUCAUAUAGUUUUUAAUUAUUAAACUAUAUGACAAAACAAAUGGUGAAAGUGUAAAUAACAAAAAAUUGAGUGCGAAUAAUAUUUAUAUAUAUAUAUAUUCACGCACACAUCAUAAUUUCAUUAAAUAAUGAAAUCCGCUAUGCUAUGAAAAGUCACCAUCUUGUACUCAUGGGCGGGUAGAUCUGGGGAAAAUUUUUUUAUUUUUUAAAUCAAUGAUCAAAUGCCCCUUCCUUUUCGCAAUUGCAUUCACUUUCUUUGAUUCCAAAAAGUAAAUAAAUAAGGAUGGCAAUGGGCGCGGGUGGCGGCAGGCACCCGUCCCGUAGGGGGCCAAUGGGACGGGGGCGGGGGGAAUUUUUUUCUCCCCUCUUAGGAACGGGGCGGGGGCUGGGGAGUGUACCCCGUCUCACCACCCGCUUUAAAAAAAUAAAUAUAUAAAAAAUAUAUAUGUAUAUAAUUAUGAGUAAAUCUUAUAUAUACUGACAGUGUAUACACUAUCAUCGUUGAAUCCAUGACAUGUGUGCAAAAGUUGAAUUUCAAAUUUAUAUUUUGCAUAGUUAUCGUUUAUCUAACGCUGACAAUGUAUACACUGUCAGUGUAGGAAAGAUUGAUCCUAUAAUUAUAUAUAAAAUAUAUAAUUUAAUUAGUUACAAACUUAUGAUAAUGAUAUUAUUAGUUAUAUGUAUUGUAUAAUGUAUAUUAGUAUAUGUAAUAUAAUUGAUAUUAUCAAUUAUACUAAUAAUUAUAUAUGUCUACUAAUAGAAAUUAUUAAUUGGUUAUACUAAAUUUACUAAUACAUUUAUACUAAAUCCCUAAUUACACUUAAUAGUCUGCGGGGUCCACUCCCUGCGGGACACACCUAAAAAAAAAAUACAAUAACAUUUUUUUCUCAAAAAAAAAGCACAAGCAUAAUAAUAAAUUAAUGAUUAUAUUUGUAUCAAAAGUGAAAACUUGACUACUUUAGUUGUAUUUAUUUCAUCAUGUUGGAUUGUAUUCAAAUAACUUUUGUUUAAUUAUUUUUAUAAGUUUCAAUUGUGAAAUUACAAUGAAUAAUAAUUUGGUGAUGUAUUGAUAUUUUAGUACUUGAUUAUUUGAUAAAAUUUAACUAUAAUAAAAUUAUAUAACAAAUUUUUAUUAACCCCACGAGAGCAUCCAUGGGACAAGCAAGGCGGGGGUAGGGGAAAUUUGUAGGCAGCGGGGCCGGGGGCGGGCCAUCCUUAUAAAUAAAUAGUCACGUAAACAACAAAUAAAUUGCCAUAUGCUAUGUCAUACUUCACACCUAUUCGCGUUUUGUCAAUUGCCGAACUGGAGGUGUUUUCCAUCCUUCUUUUAAUUUUUACUUUAGAAAAAAAAAAAAAGAAAGAGGAAUUAAGUGGAUGAUAUUGGACGAUAGAAGUUUGUAGUGUGGUAAAAUUCAAAACCAAAGGGGAUAAAUAGUGAUUUACCAUUCUUUUGGUAAUGCCCAAAAUACAAAUUUGAUCAUUAUGUCAAAUAAGAACUAGUGAUUGAGCUUAAUUAUUUCACUUCCUCCUUAAAAUUAAUCUUACCAAUCAUAUAUCGAUACGAUGCUCAAGACGAAAACCUACCAAUAAUCUCGGUCUCAAUUUCUAUAGGAACAAGUUUCUAUUUUUGCUAUAUUACCACUUGACUUGCCAGUUAAAUACCUGUUCCUCUCUUGGAGGGUGAUUUCUAACACGCCACAAAUUCCCAUUCUUUACUCUGAGGUAUUCCAGCUAUACUCAAACUCUGCCAUCUAAUUGCUAUAUUGCAAGUUGGCUCCAAAUUUACUACUAUAAAUUGCAAAUUUCUUCUACUAUGAGUUAGGGCUUUACUUGUUCCACAAUCUAGACAUGUAAAACUAAGCUGCUUUUCAUAUAUAUCCUUUUUUUCAAAGAGAGAAACCUUUACAAUCCAAAGCAUCCUUGUUACAGAUCAACAUGGCGGAGAAGAUUAAGAAGCGGAAGGGUAAAACAAGGCCCUGGGCUGAUCUUCACGAAGACCUCCUACGAACAAUCAUUCAGAAACUUUGCUUAUAUGAUCGAGUUCAUUCGAUCCUAGUUUGCAAGGAGUGGCAAGCAAAAAUCUUAACAAUUCAGCCAUUAACGAGUAGUAGACUACCCUGGUGGAUGUUCCAGUACAAUUGGCGUAAGAGCUUCCAAAACAACAGUCAAAAACUAACACUUGAUGGGAUGUUAUUCAACCCAGAUUCGAGAAAACUUUAUCCUGUUAAGAAGGACAAUUGGAAGUCAAAAUAUAUGAGCCUUGUCUUCCAAGCAAGGCCGUGUGCUUCAGAACAAGGCUGGCUGCUUUUCUUCAAGGGGCUUAGGAAGAAUGGUACCUCUUUUUUCUUUUAUAAUCCGUUCUCUAAUGAUUUCAUGUUGCUACCAUCAUUAAGUAGUUGUACUGGUUACGUUAGAGCUGCUUUUUCAAGAAUUCCCACUUCUCCCGAUUGUGUUGUCUUCAUCGCAUACCAUGUCAAUCAAGAGCUACACAUUGGAACAUACACUUUUGGGGAGACAAACUGGAGAACCCAAGUUGUUGCGCAGGCAGGGGAUAUAGUAAAGAGUAUUGUCUACAGUUCUGAAAAAAGUGAGGUAUAUUGUGUUUUCUGGGGAGGGAAGUUAGCAAAAUUCGAUGUCGUCGGCAGAUGUUGGAGUUUGGUCAAAGAACGAAGUUUGUAUCAUUUAGCAUCAAACAAACAAAUCCUGAUUGAAUACAAAGGGCAGCUUUUAUUAUUCAGCAUUCAUGAUAUUCAGUUGGGUUACAUCUACAGAUUUGAUUGGUCUCUCAUGGACUGGAUUGCUCUGGAUAGCUUAGGCGGUGGAGCAAUUUUUAUCGACUUCUCUCAUUCGCUGUCGAUAGCAGUUGAAGAAGCAUCAGGCUGGGAAGACAAUAUAGUGUAUACAAACUAUGGGAACAGUAGAUACUAUUAUUCUUCUUACUCGUUGAAGACUCGACAGUCCUGCGAUCUUAGUGAGUAUUACGGCUAUGAGCCAAAGCAAGGAACAUAUUGUGGCACAACAUGGAUUCAGCCUCAAAUGCAAGGAAAACUCAAGAACUGACACUUCCUUGUCCUCUCACAUUGUAACUUGUUAUUACUACAUAUGUGAAGCACUUUACUUUCUGGAACAAAGAUGAUAUUGACAAGUUUUAUUUAACUUGUUAUUACUACAUAUGCUGUUUUUCAGUUUCCCUUUUUGAUUCGAGUAUCAUGUUGACGUUUAAAAUAAUGUUAGUUGUUUGUUUUGAAAGAAUUUAGGAUGGAAAGAAGGGGAAAAAAAAAGGAGAGAGAGGGGUUUUUUGUGUCUGGAUAGAUUCUUUAAGAAGGGAAAGUAAACCAAUAGAAAGGAAAGGGAAAGAAUUAUUUUUGUUUCAGGUUGCAAAAGUUGGAAAGAGAGAUAGGAGAUCGUGAUUGGUGAAAAAUUAAAAGUUUGAUACAAAAUUCAUUUGUUCUAUUUUUAUGAUUAAAGUAACUUUUUUCCCAAUGCAAUCUUCAUACCACCAUAAAAAUUAAACCCUAGUCAUUUUAUUAAUAAGUUUUUUUUUCCCUGUUUGGUUCCCUUAAGGCAUUGGAUAAGGGGAAAAAAAGAGAUGAAACCAAUAAUAGCAAGCCUGCUUCUUGUUUGCAAACAACCCUAUUAAUAAUAUUUGGAGCUUUUGAAUAUUAAACUUUUUCUAUUGAUGUUCAUUCAGAUUUUUUUUUCUUUAAAGGAAUGGGAGUGAAAGCAAAGGAAAGAUACUGGCAGAAUAAGUUUUUUUUUUUUUUUAUAGGGAUUUAAGAAUACAAUUGCAAUUGAGACAGUUUGCUUGACCUCUGAUUAAAACUGCAAUUGCCAAUGGCGAGGACACCUAUUUGUGGAAUGAUUUUAUGCAUCCUACUAGAGUAUUGUUACAUAUUCUAUGCUUACUGAUUUUGGUAGGUUUUUGGGUCUGAAAUGUGAAUUGUAUUAUAUAUGUGUGCUAGAUGUAUUCUUAUAUCCCUAUAAAUAUCUCUAAAAGGGGAUACUAAUCUUAAUAACUAGUGGCUCAAAAGAAAAAUUAAUAACCAGUGGAAAAAGAGAAAAUACUAAUUUUAAUACAUAACUUUAAUCUAACUACUGUUACAUAAAUUCUUCCAAUAUAUAGUUAUGGAUGUAGACUUCAAAUGACUUUAAUUAGACAUUAUGGCUAUAAUAACUAAUGAAGUUUAAGUACUUGUAUAAAAUACCUUUGGGGAUUUUUUCCAAAAAAGAAGUUUUUCUUUUUUUCUUUUUUUGUCUUUCCUUCCUAAUAAAACGUAAUAUUCAAAUGAUAAGUUUUAAAAUAAUUAUCUUAAUGUUCCUAUAAUACAAAUAAUUCUAUAAAAUACUUGUUUCGCUCCAAAAUUAAUUGAUAGCCUAUAUGAAAUGCUUAAGACUUUGUUAUAUGUGUCAAAUACUUGGGGGUCAAAAUUGCAUUUCUCUCUUUAAGAAAACCUUGAACGCGUUUAAAAUAUUUUAAUUCAAUAUUGUUAAAACACGUUAAGACCAAUGAUACCUUAUGUGGUGGCUAAGAUUGAGAUACAGGAAGGUUCUAAAUUCAAAUUCUUCUCUUUUCUACUAAAAAUGUAAUUAAAAGUUAAAAACUCUGGAAAUCAUUAAAAGUUGUGCCCCUCUCAUCCCCUUCCGUCCGUGUUGAGCAUAUAGCUUGAGAAUGCAUUAUCAUCUAUCCCUAAAUUAGCAAAGAAAUUAAACUUUUUUGGACAAUUAAUAUCCAAACCUACCUCUUAUCAUGUGCCCUUAGUAGAAGAACCUAUUAUCCUUAGGUAAUCCUUUUAUAUUGAUACUCUACUUACUAAUACCCGGUUUACAAGAAGAACCUAUUAUCCUUAGGUAAUCCUCUUGUAUUGAAACUCUACUUACUAAUACCCGGUUUAUAAAUUGGUUCCAAAUUCUGCAAACCACAAUUUUCUUCAAUGAAAAAAGGGCUUGCCUGUUCCACAAUCCAAACAUAUAAAUCUGAACUGCCUUUCAUUUCUUUUGUUAAAAGAGGGAUUUUACCUCCUUUUGGGUAAAUUACUUAUAAUGAUGUGAUUUUACAUAAUGUCACGUGAUCCCCCAAAUGUUUCAAUACAACCACUUAAUCCUCCUAUAAUUUUAUAUAAAGUGAAAAAUGAAUAAAAUGCAUAAUCAGUUAUAGCGUUUAUACCAAAUGCACUAUAAAAGUACGCAUAAUAAAAUCUUAGGGUCUGUUUGAUAACAUAAAAAAGUGCUGAAUCUGAAUUUUUUCAGACAUUCAGAUGUUUUGAGUGUUUGAUAAAUGAAAAUCCAUUUGCUGAACUUGUUAAGUAGUGCUAAACUUGUGUGUAUUUUUUUCAGCACAAGAAUUCUAACUGAAUGCUUAAUUCUGAUAGAAAUCAAUAGAAUUACUUCAAUUACCUUAUUUUAUCUAACAAAUCUACCCUUGUUUGUUAAUUAUGUUCAAAAUUCUUAUCUAAUUAAACAAUCUAAUAUUCUCUAUCUAAUGAUUUUCUAUUUCUUUUUUCUCCCUUUUGAAUGAUUUUCACAUCUUCUCCAUACUCCUCAUAUAAUAUAUUUCAUCUUUUAUAUUAAUUUGAUUUAAAAAUAAAUAUUGUCAUUUUCACACCUAACAUUUUUAGCUAAUUAAAUCAUAGGUUCUAUUUCUUUUUUAGAUGAAAAGAUAUAAGGGCAAAUUUGUCAAAUUUAACUUAUUAAGCAUUUAGUUAUAAAAUGUUUAUCAAACAGUAUAAAUAGGUUUAACAUUAAAAUUCAGACAUUCAUAUAUUUCUUUUCAGUACUUAAAAUUCAGCAAAUUAAUUGUUUCAGUAUUCAGAUUUCAGAAUUCAGACUUCAGAGUUCAGAUUCAGUUUUAUCAAACGGAACCUUAAUCUCUAUGUAACCCUCUUAUCAUUUGUAUAAAUAUCCAUUUUAUCCCCUAUAAUUUGUGUAUUUAUCCAUGUAAUCCCUCAUAUUUUAUACAAGGUAGUUAACCCGUCAAAUAAUUUAACAUUGAAAUAAGGGCACUAUUGAUAUUUCAAUUAAUGACAAUACAUAGGUUAGUUUCUGUCAAAUUUUCACUUUACAUAAAUUUGUUGUGGUGAAGUGGAUAUUUUGAACAUUAGGGGGUCAUGGGGUAGUAGACAAAACCACAGGUGAGUUAUAUGUAAUUUACCCAUUUCUUAAUAAUUCAAGUACCAUAUUGAGUUUUAGAACUAUAUCAAUUGUUUGGUUUGAAGGAAUAGGUUUAGAGUUUAGAGUUUUAGAACUAUAUCAAUUCUUAAAAUUAUGUAUCAAAACAAACCCAAUAUUUUCCAUGUUUAUGUUUAGAGUGUCUUUUUUACAAUAUAAUCUCCAUCUCUAUGCCACCAUAAAACUUAAUCCCUAAUUGUUUUGUUAAUAAUGUCUUGGGCGUCAAAUAAGCACACCAAAAACAGAAGCUGGGCCAAUAAUGCUGAGACCACUUACUAAAUUGAUGAACCCUAUUAAUAAAUAUUUGGAACUUUGAAUUAUCAAAUUUAUUGUUUAUGUUCGUUCAAUCUUAAGUUUGCUUUGAAGAAAUGGGAGGGAAACAAACGGAAUGGAAACAGGGAUAAGUUUUUUAUGCAUUAAGAUUCACUUUUGAGGAGAAAAAGGAGACGAUUGGAUGAAAUGAGAUGAACUAGUUCUAAUUAUUUAAAAGGUUUUUUUUUUCCAAAUACAAUGUGAUUUAACUCCAACAAAUUUUGUCAUUAGAACUCAAUGCUUUAGUAUAUAUAAAAUUAUUUUGAGAUGCAACAUGCUUUAUUCCUUUGAAUACUAUUUGUUUUCAUGCCUUUGUGCAACUAAUGUUCAUAUUUGUUUUGUUUGUCUUGGCUUCUAUCAAGUAUUUAUGUUUGUCAUAUAAGUCUUGUCUUCUGUCAAAUAUUCAUGUUUAUUAUGUAAGUCCCAAACAUUCAUAUUAUCUAAUAGCUAAAUUAUAGUUAGUUUAAAUUCCAUUACUUUGACUUUGUAUAUCCCAUGUAUAUUGAAGGAAAAAUAAGGCUAUUUUUGUUUGAAUUAUUUUUAUUUUAAACUAUUGUUUGUUUGACUUAAAUUCCUUGUAUUCGGAAAAAAAAAAAAAAAAAAGAAGCUUUUGAAUAAAAUUUAAAAAAUGAAAAAAUUAGAGCAUAUUGAAGCAAAGGACUUAGUAUAUGAGAAAAAUAUUAAGUCCAAGACAAGUUAGUAAAUCAUGAAAAUAAUUGAUUAAUUAGUGCAUGUAAGAGAGAGGAAGAAGAAGAAGAAGAUGAUGAAAAGUUAGAGAAUAGAAAAAAAACUUAAUUAGAGAGAGAAGAAGAGCAAUUAAUUAAUACUUAAUAGACCUAGAAAGAUCAAGAAAAAUAUAUAGGGUUAACUAAUUGAAAAUAACCUUGACAUUUGAAUAAAAUUCGCAAAAAAAUUAUUAUUCUGACAACAUCACGAGCUGGCAUUUGACCUUAAAAUCAGGGUAGUUUCGAAGCUAUGUGGUAGCAUGGAUAUGGCAGAUGCAGCCCCUAAGGCCAAAGAUUUCUUUGCCAUACAUUGACCUUUGAGCUUUCGACUUGCUUUAGGAUUACUCCCUUUGGGAUUUUAGCAACUUUCCCUCGUAUCAUUUCUCUAAUGAUAAAUUUCUCUUCUCGAGAGACCUGCUGAGGUCUAUUAAACAUCAUUUUGGCAGUGAGAAGCAUGAAUAUUUUUUGAAACCCCUUCCGUUUACUCUUGGUUAAAAGAUCACUUGCGAUCGCUAACUCGAAGAAGAGGCAAGUUUAGAAAGAAUUUCAAGCUGCAAAGAGGGUGACCAAAUACUCCCAUCAUUCUCCAGGCAUCCACCCACUUCGCAUCAGCGCUCGUCCCAUCAUCUGGGGGCCCGGGGCUUAAUCUUCUGUUCAUCCAAAGGUGAUAAAUAUGGAGCAAUAAUACUUCAUUCAGAAACCUAUCUUUUCCAGUGCAGUGCCACGGAUUGGUGGUUGUAAAUGUCUGGGGCCUAACCUGUGCGUGCUUUUGCAGACACGCGAGCAUAACUAGCGUACUAAUAAUAAUCAUGAAAAUUCUUGCCACUUAAAAGCAUGAAAGUUCAGGGACAUGACAGGGUACAUGCUUAACAUCUAACAUCAUGAUUAAUGGAGAGGCAAGCAAGAGAGGUUAAUAUCAUCUUACACCAGAACAACAGUUUCUAGCCCUAAAAGAACACACCAAACAACAUGGCUCCAACCGAUCUCAACAUGGAGCCUGUUUAAACCAUUUUGUACAGUAGUUAUAUGCGUAUGACUAACCUCAAUGACAGCUCAAAUCUCUGCUAUAAUCUGUCAUUUACAAGCUUCGGGCGACCUUUUCAUACAAGUCACUAGGCCAGUUCCUGUUCACGUUAUUUGCAAGGAAGUUUGCUAUCUGCAGAAUAAUAAUUAAAAAGAAAAUCCAUCAGGUAAUAAAAUUUGACGUGAUAAAAAGGAAAACGGAAAACAAUUGCAUAGGCAUAAACGCCCCAAAUGAAACAAUUCAUUGAAUCUCCAUAUGUUGAAAGUGUCCUUUAAGAAGUGUCUGCGACUCUGCCUAACAGACUCACCUUAUAACUUCGGCUUCAGCCUUAUAUGUUUCAAGUUUGUGGAGAUUCUCAUCCAAUUCACAUUCACCAGAGCACAGUUAUGCCAAAUCAAAAAAUGCUCAAAUUUCUAAGUUUAAUGUUCAGGAAACAUUUUAGUUAACAACACGCUUAGCUACCUUUCCAUUGCAAGAAAGAGUGGAGGAAUAUAGCAGACUACAAAUAAGUUGAUUAUUCAAUUUGGAAAAACCUGAUUAUCCACUGGGUGAAAUUGUAGAUCAAAUGCAUUCAAGAAAGCCGAAAAUUAUUAUCAAACUAGCACUUCUCACUGUAUGGUAUUCAAUGCAUAUCUGCCUACAGGUGUCAUCUAGAAGCCACUUCUACAAUGCGGCAAACAAGCAAUCGGUAACCAAUUAAAACCAAUGUCUUUUCACUACAUGUAUUUUCCACUGAACAAAUUUAUACAGACUUUAAAGCACAUCGCAAGUGAACUUGCUUGCAAGCUGAAUAUGUCAGUAUGCUAACCAUGUAGGAAAGGAGGGAAGUCCAAAAGCAAAAUAUAAAAUUCAUCUUAGAUACACGACAAACUGAAAGCAAAAGGAGACAGAUUACAGGAGUAAAACAGGACAUCAAUAUCAGAAACAUACCUUCGUUCUCAAGGCACGAAGCGAACCAUCUGUAUCUUUGACAUUGUCCAAACAAUGAAGAGCAACUCUUAGAAGGUCAGGCACACAAGUUUGGACAUAAGGGGAUAGAUUAUUAAAUACGUCAGAGGCAAAAUCCGGUGCUCGGGGAUCAAGAGGAAGAAAUGGAAGUUUUGCUACCUCCCUCAAAGCAUCUAAAUAAUGUCCCACCCUCGCAAGCUUAUGAACACACAAGAUUGCCUCAAGCUGUCUUAACACAGUUUGCUGUUCCAUAACAUUCUCUCGCUCCUGAGGACUGCAAAGCAAAUAUUCUAUAGAAUUAAAUUACUCCAAAAACAAAAUAUUCAAACAACAUAAUUAAUGAAAAAGUUUGCUUCUUUAACACGGUUAUUCUUAACAAUGCAUGUACUCGGACAAAAUUUUCAGGAGAAAUAACAUCACUCCAAAAAAAAUCCCCUGACCGGUGCCUUAUCUAAUACCUGAUCUCUGGAUGAUACUUAAAUGCCUCCAAAAUAUCAUUUCCGGAAUGAAUGAGCCCAGAAGUCCUGCUCUCACCGUCCAAUCUACCAAGUGAUAGGGCACAAAUUGCUUCAGACAGGCACUUGUUGACUGUCUCCAGAGCUCCAGAGAAUGCCCCAACUCUCUUUUGAAUCUCUAUGGACUGAGUUUGAAGGAAAAUAAGUGUGACAGAGAAACGUAAGCAUUAAACCAAUAAAUGCAUAGCUGAGCAAAAAUAAAUAAAAAUAAAACAUCAUAACCGUAAAUGAGAAUCCAUGUAAUGAUAGGUCCAAAGAAGCAAAAGCUACAGGAAACAGCAGAAGAAAAUAAUUCCACAAAUCUUUCAAACAGGUAUUCUUUUGCGUGACCUAAUUUUAAGACUGAAAUCAAAUACUCUGGUCGGUAAAGAAUAAGUUUCUUCAGAUUUUAGCAAAACCAAAACGACUAUAAUGUCUGACGCAGAAGUGCGUUUGGAUAUCUAGCAUAGAGAAAUUAGGUGAUUAUCAAUUAAUAGCAGCCAAAAAGCUACAGCAUGCAAAAUUCCAGAGAAGCUAUCAAGCAGAAAUACAACAUAAUGGAGACUGGAAAUGCUAGGUCAUCUCCAAGGACCAAGACGAAGCAUUGCCCCAUUGCUCUAAUGACCUUCCUCGAACAGAUUCAAUUACAAAAGAUGAACAAACUUCUCAUAAACUCUCAUGUAAUGUGUUCAUGAUACUGCUACAUAAUCAUCACGUGAAGUAUGAAAAUUCUAAAGAAGAAAAUAGAAAAAUUUUACACUUGAGUGCAAUAGCUAAUCAAUAUAAGAGACAAUAUUUUGAGUGCAUUAAAAAGGAAUAAUCACGAAAAGUGGUACUCAAAAGAAGCUUAAACCAAGCCAUUACUGGGUUUAACCUGAAAUGCCAUGAGACGGUCUAAGGGCAUCUGAAUGCCAGCUGAAUACAAAGAGAUAAUGAAUCAUACUUGCCUCCCACAUUGCCACCUCCUUGUGUUAAUAACAGAGAGGAAUAUACAUGGUCCUUUGACAGAGGAACCUCAUAAACAGAGGUCCAACAUUAGAUAUCUAUUUUAACCCAGUGGCCUACUGGAAUAAUUUAUUUCCUUUUGUCUUAAAUAUUCUACUUAUCCAAGGUCGUGAAUGCAUAAAAGUCAUCCUAGCUCGCAGCAAAGGAUAUGUACCCCAAAAAUAAACUCAACCAAAAAGACUGGGCAAUGUCCAAAUUUGAGAAAAAUUCAAAGAAAGAGGAAUCCAUGGAAGUAAUAAAAAGAUAAUUAUUUCUCUAUUGGAUGAUUACACAUCCAUUUGAAAAGAAAAAUUAGCACCAUCAUCACUAUGAUCAGUCCAUACUGUCCCAUUACCUACCAAGAAUCUAAAAGCAACUGGGAUUAGAAACACGGUGUCAACAUGUAAGGGGGGAAAAAACUGUGGAUUGCAUGAAACCGAGUACUUCCCUUUUUAAUUCUAAGACCAACUGGACUAAACUUGUAUAUUUGUAGCACAAUGGAACUUUCUGAAUGUGCUAAGAUAACUAAAUAACACAGUUAAUCUGCUCCAUCUACUGAUCACCAUCUUAGACAGCAGUGCAUGGGCAAAUUUUGACAAAUGAGUUCUGCACAACCCGCUAAAAUGCUUACUAAGUGUGAAAGAAGAAAGCAAGAAAAGAAGUAUUACUUUGUCAUACAGCCCAGUAUCCUGACACUGCCGCGCAGCCUCAAGCAGAAACUGUUGCCUUGUCUUUCCAUCAGUGAAAAAUCUGCCAAGUUGACCUUCUUCUCCAGUACCUCUUGGUCCGAGCAGAAGAUAAAUACCACCAUCAUGUAAUAAAAGUUCUGUAAAAAGUUGCUUCAACAUCAAGGUCCUCUGCCGCUGCUGAUCUAUACUACCUCUUCCAGUCCAUGAAAGCUCACCACCACCCACUGCAGCAGCAGCCUGUGCAUAGUACUCUAGUGCCAUUGACAGGUCACCGUUCCGUAGAUAAGCAGAUCCAUACUGCCUAAUUAUGCUAGAAGCCUCUGCACAAGCAUCCAUCACUCCAAAUUUUUGAGCAGCCCCAGCACCUUCAGAAAGGACCUCAUGGUCAGCGAAUACUAUAUUUAUGUGGACAGAAUCAAUGCCAUAUCCUUCAUCUCCUAUAUCCUUGGACAAAUAAAGGACUGCUGGAAGCAGCUGAAUGCUCAACAAUAAAACAUAUGGAUACACCAGAGGAUCCUUUCCAUUCUUUGUAUAAUAUGAAGGUUCAAACUUAUUUAGGUAAGCCUGUAAAUCUUCCAAAGUGUAGGGUGAGAAUCCCUCAUUAAGAACAGCAGAAGAUGAACCAUCAGACCAUUCAUGUAUAGCAGACAACUUGAACCACAAGAAAUCCUCUAUGGUAUUGAAAAGUGUGGGUUGCUCUCUAAGCAGUCUGUCUAUCAGCCUGCGAGAACCAGAUAUGAUGGCAUACAGAACUAAUUUUUUCUUGUCAUAUGAAGCUCGGCCAACUCUAUCACCACUCCUCAACAAUUUUUCACACUCUUCAGAGGCAGCAGCCACGGUCCUAGGCGAUACGAGACUGCCAGAGGCAAUCCACUCAGUGAGCUGUCAGGAUAAGUCAAUUAUUAAUACAAAUGAGCCAUUAACAAGUACUACAGAAGCAAUGAACAAUUAAACAAUUUACCAGAGGAGCAAAGUGGUGUGCAACACGAGAUGAUUGGGCAACUUCUUGCGCUUUAUCAUAGUACCCAGUUCUCAAGCAAAAGUAUAUCUGUACAUACACACAACAAGAGAAACGGUCUGAGAGAAAUUGUUUGAACAGAUACCCAAUAUGGUUAGUUAUUUGGAAUACUAUAACCAUGUCAAACAGUUUUAAAACAGCUAACAGAUGAGAAAAACCAAAAAUGGUGCAGAUAAUGCUGUAUGCGAAGCAAGGGUUCAAAGAGAAGAAACAAUUUUCCCAUUUACUUCUAGUUAUCACUUUUUUAACUUGAAGCACAAUUCAUGCAGACACCAAAAAUUUCUACAUCUUCCUUUGGGAACAAUUAGGGAACAAAUAAAAUAGCUUAGACAGAGGUAUCUGAAUAACUAGAGAUUAAGCAAACUGGCAUCUAUGUACAAUUGAGCCAUGUUUAAAUCCAGCAUGAUAACAAUUGAAGAAAGAUCCGUGGCAAAACUACAGAUAAUAUAUUUUCACAAAAGUUCUGGUGCUUGUACAAAUCCUAGCUCAUAAUCAAAGUACGAUCUCUUUUUUCCCUUUAUUGCUAUCCUGUUUUCCAUGUAGUUUACAUGAGAACUGCUGGGCAAAACAAAAAUAAGGGAAGGUGAUGUCUGUUUGAACAAAGACAAAUUAAAAACUGCAUAGACAGCUGUUAACUGCCUUACAGAUAGAAUUGUGUCUGCCAACAGCAAUGAACCACACACAUUUGAUUGCAUGGAAAAUAAAUGCUUUCUCACAUGGUUUUCAGCAACAUCUAGAAGAACAAGAAAACAUAAUAAAAACCUGCUGCCAAGUGGUAUCAAUGGGAGGCUGUCUACGAGCAUCAUCCGCAUCAAAGUCAAGGACACCAUAAUCCCUUAAACGAAUCUGCAGAGACUAAAUUAUUGAGCAUAGGAAUAUUCUCAAGGGCAAGAAAGCCAGUUAUAUUACAACUUGGAGUCUUAAUUAUUACACAAUGAAAAAGUUACAGACCCUCAGGAAGGCUCGAAUUCGCUGCAAAUUAUCAACAGCUCCACCAAGAGAAGCCUACAAUGAAGAUAGUCUAUAAGCUUGAGAUUAAAAUUGGCAUUUAUGCAUACUACUACAGUUACUUGUAGACAUAAUAAACCCCAAAACAUUUAAAGCCAUAAAAAGCCUUCAGAUGCUAAACGGAGUGCCACAAGUAUGUCUUGUCUGCAGCCACCACUAAAAAUAAUAGAAUGAAACUGCAAGAGAUCAGUUGUCAACUGGAUCACUUGUAAUCCCUGUUUCUGAUCUAAAGGCAACAACUGCUCGCAACACGUAGAGGCUUUGACUCCAUAGGCAACAUCCACCCAACUAGCAAAUAGUACUAUAAGUAUAUUGGAAGCUCAGAACCUGGCUCCUCGAACUCCAGGAGAGCUUUCAUGGGAUUAAGAUCCUUUUCAUUCUUGUAAAAUGCAAAACAAGCAGUCAAGUAUAAGGUGAACCAUCGAAUGCAAAUUUCUCCAACAUAAAAAUAUCUGCCAAAGCAGGAUAACUAAUAUAGAUACUGCAGAUAGAUCCCAUAAUGAUCUAAAACCGAAGCUCCAUGACCUUAUAGUUGUGAUUGAUAAAAAACUUGAGCUACCGAGUGUCCACACAUGUAUACAUAAAACGAGGAAAUUGGGCAGUAUGCUUGUGGACUUCUCAGGAUGUCAAGUGCACGACAAAGUACUACGUACAUUCUAGGGAGGACAAUUAACCUCGUUUACAACACAGUUGUUUCUUAUUUGGUUUUCUAGCAUAGACAAUAGUAUCCACUUGAAAGUUUACUUGGGGGACUCAUGCAGAAAACUCGAGAAUCUAGCAGGAGCUGACCUUUUAUGUCAAUUACCAAUACAUGACAUAUAAUCUAUGAUAAACUGGUUAGAAGAACGAGAACAAAUCUAAAAAACUAAUAACAGGAUCACUCUAUCAGUACAUAUCUGAAACAUAAAAAACAAGAAAUUAAUGGAUUACCUGUGCAGGAUGACUCUGUAUUGUAUCUAGGACAUAUUUUUCAUGCCCCCAUUCAAGGUGGCGUCUAGCUCCCAUUACCAAUGAUAGUUUCCUUGAAACAUUUGGUUUUGGAGUUGAAUCCUCAUUCAUCAGUGUCUGUCCAGUUAUUCAGUUAGUUACAGACAAAUCAAUCAAUGAAUAAUAGAAAAGCCUUGAUUCAAAAAACCUCAUACAUGUGGAAGUACAAGAUAAAUCACAAAGGCAUGAACAAUAUCCAAUUUAUAAAGAGAUGAACUUAUUUCAUUUCAUCUUAAAACUUGAUAAAGAAAAUGCAACUAAAUAGGUUGGAGCAAAAAAUGUAAAAGUUAAACAAAAAGCAUGUGAUAAUUAACAUACCAAAACAAGGUUCCACAUUUUCUGCAUGCCAACUGAUUUGCCUCCAGAUGUAUCAAUGCCUAAACUCUCAUAUGCAAGCUUGAAAGCUGUAGCAGGCUAAUAAUGUAAAAUGCAUUAAUUAAUCAUAAAGUGGGACACUUGAUUUUCUAUACAACUAUACUUAAAAAUGAGAGACGCUUUAUGUGUUUUGGAGAAGCCAAAGAACUUUCAAUGGCUAAAUGAGAAAGAAAAUAUCACAUACAAUUGAAGUUGCAAUGAGUUAGAGGAAUCAAUACUCACCUUGAAAGAAGAACCACGCUCUCUGGCACUGUUGAGGUCCUUCACAACUUCUCCAUAGGCUGCAGCUUUUUUCUCAACAAUGGGCUUAUUAGCCAACGGUGCAAGCUCCAUGGUAGAUGGACCAGAUGAAACAUGAGGACUGGAAGUUAGUGUCCCUAUUUGACCUUGACGAACAGAACCAGUGCCUGAAUCCAUCACAUUGAUUCUGGGCAACCUCGAAAUCCGACCCAGACUUUGGAGGAAGUCUCUUUUUUCUUUUUGCCAGUCCUCCUGUCAAGAUAAGCUCCAAAAAACAUAAAAAACUAGGAACAAACAAGACUAUCAAGCACCAAAUGAAUGACUAAGGUCCUCCUAGAGAAUUCCAAACAACCAUAUCAUCAUGCUGAACACAUACAUUUUACUCCACAGUAGUUUUAACUGUUUACCCAUACAGCAGCCUAAAGUAUUGUAACAUAGCGAAAAGAUCUUGAAGCAUACUCAUGCAGGAGCAUUCACCUCCAAAACUGUCAUCAUGUAGUCGCUGAAACUUCUAAGAUUAUCCUUCUGAGCUUCCUGUACAGCUGACACCAUUGCCAUCUCAUGGACCUAAAGAAUACAAAGCGAGAGGUAGCAUGAUCAAGUGACAUCAUCAGCUCAUAUUCAUCAAGAAAAAGUACACCAAAUGCUAGAAAUGGGAGAACUGAUGCAUGAGAUUGCAGUUCAUUGCCACUUGAUGUCCAAUGUGAAUGCAUGAAUACUUAAGCAAUAAAGAAGGUUUCUGAUGGGGAAAACUUAUUAUCAGCCGGAGUAGGCACAACACUCAUAAACCUAACUAAGAUAUCACGGAACUGAUGGUAAAGAGGUCCACAAAUGUGAAGCCACUCAAAAUACUCAAAGUCAAGCUCAACUGAUGUUCUCCUAAACUGAAGCUUGUCCAAGUUAACAAGCUGUGUGAAGCCACUUGUAAGCAGUGCAAAACUUCAACUACAGGCUGAUUAAGCUCAACAUCUUUCAAGCUAGACCCACCUAACAAGCUAUAAAAAACCGCUCAGAAGCAAUAGAAUAAAACUCCAUCCAUAGGCCAAUUCAUAUUUGCUUCAAACUCCAAUUUAGUUGCAACUCUUCAAUCUCAAGCCCAAACCACAGGCAUAACAUGAUUACUUUGAACGGUCGAUAAUGGUAUUAUCCUGCCUACUUUGAGCUCAACAACGUUACAAUAUCUAUUAUAGAAGUAUAUCUAAAGUACUAGGAACAUUUAUUAAACAUAACAUAAGCUGACUCACAAGAAAGCUAAGUCAAAUAACAAAGAUAAUUAAGAUGAAAGUUCAAAACCAAAUUCAAGUUUCAAGCUUCACAUAAAGGUCUCCAAAACCCUAGUGAAGCCUAGCUUAUGCAGGCUCAAAAGGAAACCACAAAAAAAAAAACUUAGAAAAGCACCACAUAGUGCUAAGACAGUAGAAAAUGAUAUUAUCAUAAAUCAUGCAAAUAUUAAUUUGACGAUUGCAUAUUUGCAAACAUUAAAUACCCAUUGAAAUCAGAUUCUGCAUAAUUAAGAUUCAAAUUAGAGUCCAGAUAUUGAAGGAAUCACUUUAAUUCUCGUACAUUAGCAGACAUGACAACAGCAUAGAUGUGCAUAGACAUUUUAGAAAAAGAAAAGCCAACUGCCCCCACCCUUAACAUCAGUUUUACCAGCAAUACUAGUGGAAAAUGGAUGUGAACAGUAGUAUUUUUCAAUCUACAUUAUGCCUUGAGGUUGCAAAUAAAAAGGUGAAAAGUUCCAUAUUGGAAAGUAACAAAACCACCAUAUCCGUGCCUGGUAGUCCAAUACUUAUGAAAUGAUAUUGACAAGUCGACUUAUGGCAAAAAUUGGAGAAAUAGUAAUGCAAUCCCUCCCCAUAAAUGCGAGCAAGCCAUCCCUUCUUCUGCAUAUUCAGAACUACAUUAAUUAUGCAAAAGGAAUCAGAUUCAUUACUCCAUAGUACACAAUAAUUUCAAGCAAAUAUAGCACUUCAUUGACAAUGCUUUUAGUAGAACAAAUGCAAUUGCUAUGGUUUAUGUAUUUUCAAACCCAUUUAAAUACUUGCCUGUUGUAAAUAUUCUUCAACUGUUGUUGCUUCUGCAGGGAAAACAUCUUCAUAUGUUGUCUAGCAAAAAGACAAGGAACUAUAUGAGAACAAGUAAAACAUUAAUGGACAGAAACUAAAAGAUUGAAGCAAGCUUCUUAUGGUGGAUAGAAUGAGCAAAGGGAAAUAGGGAGUUAAAAAUACUAGUGGCGCAAAGAAGCAUGAUAAAGAGGGGAUUAGUUCCUCAGAGAAUUGCUAUUCUGAAUACAUAAAAUGGUAAAACAGCACUUGUAAACUUUGAAGCCAAAGUUAUUAGGUUGCCCUUCAAUUUCUUUUAAUUAGGAAGCAUAAAAGUCAGCAGACUCUAUAAUUCUCCAAACUACAAGUCUGCCAAAUAUGUGUACACUUAUAUCUUCCCAGAACGAGCCAAAAAGGUACUACUACCUGAAGCUAAAAGGACGAUGUCAUACAAAAGGCAAAACCCAAAAUGAACGCUUUGACUGACACAAAAUCCUCCAAAAUGGAACCCCAGAUAUAUCAACCUGACUUAUACUAGAAGAACCACACUACAGGUGUGGAGAUAUCCAGUAACCUAAACAGAUACUACAAUACUCUCAGCAUCUAUUCUCACUUCUUGAGCUUACUUAGAAAUUCACUUGAAUAUAACCGAGUGCCAGAACUAAAACUGUAAAUGCAUUACCCAAAUUCACUAUCCUACAAAACCUCAUCGAUAACAAUUAACAGAAUUUUCCUGAUACAAACAUAAACCAUUUUGCUCUUCAACAGCUUUGUCCUACAUGCAAUAUCAAACACCACGCUGUAUUUCAUUGUCCUUUACUCGUACUAAAUUUCAGAACCAUCUUGUAUUCACAAGGAAUUAUACCUUUAGCUCAAAUGACUUGAGAUCGCGCGCAAGUUGCUCUGCAUUUAUCCCCUCUCGCGCUAAUAACCUAAAAUUCAAUGCAAACAACACCAGAAACACGAAAAGAAUUAAAUGCAAACCAUACCAGAAACACGAAAAGUUAAAUUCAGACCACGUGUUUCAAAACCAAUAAUCCGCAUGUUAAGAACAAUCCAUAAUUUAAUAGUUUAAAUACCUAGUCGCGGCAAUAGAUUGUGAGGGAGCUUCAGUUCUUAGGGUUUUUGCCUUGAGCUUCUUUGACAAUGCUUCUAACUGGUCCAAAUUCCUCUGCAUUCCACCAAAACAUAUUUUAACCCACAAAAAACAGAUUCUAGCUUUAUUUUUUCCGUUUAUUUUCCAAACUCAGCUACAAAAUUGAAUGACUAAAUGCAAAAUUGAAAGUGAAAAGAAAACAUGGAUUCUUGUUUAGUUAUCGUUAGAACCUGAAGAGGAGGGAACUGGGCGGAAGGAGCGGCUUGUUCGAGUAGCUUCGAGGACGAGUGGAGAAGAUCAUUCCAGCUACCCAUGUCUGCAUCGCUCGCCAUUAUUGCUGUUAAGCAGUGUUCUGCUACUGUGUGUUGUGCGUGUUUUCUGGAGCAGGGUUUAUUAGUUUUAUUUCACGGGUAUAAACAAUUAAUUUGAAAAGCCCUAAAAAUUGAAGCGGGUAAAGUUUCAUAUGUUGAUUCUGUGCUCACACCCACACCCAACUUUAUCCUGCAUCCCUCAGAACCCUCUUUUCUUUUCUUUUUCCUUUUCGCUUUGCAGAUAAUUGCAAAAUGCCCACCUAAACUAUUAUUUGUUCACAACUUCCCCCUAUGCUAUGGAAAAAACUUAAUAGCGUACUGCAUUAUGCAAAAUCCAAAUUUCGACAUCAAAGUUUAUGAAAAAUUAGGAAAUCCGCAUCUUUUAUGCAAAGGCCCUAAUAUUCAAACAAACGAAGGAUUGUAUUUUAGACUUUUCAGUAGGCAAGUUUUUGUUUUCCUCUAUAUUAUUUGUUAGAACAUUUUAAUUUUGAAUGCUCAAAUUAUUAUCAGUGUAAUUGAGUCAAACUUGAAUGACUUAACUAAACUUUUGAGUUGAAUUUGGAUCCUAAGAUAAUUGACUUGAAGGUUGGUCAAAUAUAAUAACACAUAUCCAUUUAAUAAUUUUUAUACAUGUUAUUAUAAUGAAAUGUUUAUUUUAUUUAUUCUAAAAGUGUCACUUAUUGAACUUUAAUAAUCGAGAUUUUAAAUUCGCUUAAGUUUGAAUUUGAGAUCAAGUUUAAGCUCGAUUGUUACAAUAAGAGCUUAAUAUAGAGUUUCAUAAAUUUGAGUGAUAUUUAACUUGAAUAUGCUAAAAUUUGACUGGAUUCAAUUCUCAAUAUAUUCACCCAUACUUGUUUAAUCUAGUAGGAAAGUAAUGAAUUUGUUAAUGAAAUUCGUAUUAAAAAGGUACUAUAUGGUUUUUUUUUUUAAAAAGUUGUUUAGUUUUCCUAAUGGGAUUUUUAAAAAAAAUACAUUUAAAGAUAGCAACAUUUUUUAAAUGAUGAAAUAAGUUUUAGUGCCGAACGAACUAGUUAGUUGUAACUAGGAGGACCAAGAUGAAAAUAACCGAAUGUUGCAAAUAGAUCCGGCUCCAGUAACGUCUUCUGUGCGGUCCCUCCAAAGUCGCCGUUACAUGGCAGCGAUUUCUACCAGCACACUCGUCCUUCAACUCAUUGGCUCGUAAAUAAUUUAGACUGAUUCGUCUGCCGCAAAAUAAGAAGUUACAGUAGAAAAUCUGGAGGGAAGUAUGCAAAGACUAGGUAGUUUGCUGCUAAAAUCCAGUGAAGUAAUUCAAGGCCUUCGUUUUUAUUCUCAAGGCAUAAGAGCAAUCCAAGACCUUGAUUUGCUCAAAAUCUUGCAAUCUGAAAUUAACCAUGAACUCACUUCCAAACCCCCCGCCCAGGUACUCUUAAAUAUCCCAACUUUUUUCCUAGUUUCUUGCCAACUUUUGAAUUAUGUUAUUUUAUUUGGGAAUCUACAAUCUUCUACUUUUUGUGGGGUGUGAUUGAAUAUUGCUUAUAACCUCUAUUUCGUAUUGGGUUCUUUCUUUUUCAAGUUUUCAGUAUAUAGUAGACAGCAAUGCUUGUUCCCGUUGAACCCUGAAUAUAGCUUGGAUUUAGUUCUAUUUGUUUAGUAUUCUGACUAUGUUAAUUUCUUUCUCUUAACGACAAAGUUUGAACUAUUAUGUGGUCUUUGUUGAAAGUUAUAAUCUUUUACUCCUUCUUCUUUCCGUGUUCGUCGAACCUGUUGCAUCAGCUUGGUGGAACAAAGUUUGCAUCUCGAUGAGAGGGUUGAAAUUCAUUGUCCAUUCUUUUUCUCCUUUUUGUUCCUCUUGUUGUCUCAAUGAUGUUGCUUGAUUUCCUUGAUUUAGUACUCGUGUAAAUACUCCUCAUUGUUUGCUGCUUUCUGGGUUGGAAGAGGUAUAGUGCUUCUUUUUCAAAAGUAGGGACAAUAAUUGCAUUCUUAGGAUGUUAUGCACUAUGGGGUUGAGUUUUACAAGAAGUAAAUAAUUUUGCACCAUGUAUGUUGAGGGAUAACAUUCUUGUCAUGUGCCAUUGUACACUUUUCCAUUUUCGUGCAUAUGAGCCAUGAAAAGAAAUGGUACUUUCAUUAUUGGAUUAGGCGUCUCCACUCUUCGAAAACCGCAGCUGUUUUUCAAACAUAUACUGAAUAAUCUCUUAUAUUUUGAAUGGCUGAGGCAUCACCUCAGAUCCUACAGGAACUAUUGGUUCCUCCCUAGUUUUGUCUGUUUCUAGUAAUCAAGUGUUGAACAUCUAAUAAGGUUUCUUUUUCAAGUGUAAUGUUUGUAUUUGGUUUGCUUGAGCAAGCAUACUAGUUUCAAGGUUUCAUUUGUGUGUUCUUUGAUUUCAAUAGCUCCAGAUUCUGCAUGAUGUAUGGAAGAGAAAACUGAUUUGGUUUUUCUCUUUCCAAAUUCAAAACAAAUUUUUAAGUGUGGCUCUAUUUAUGAAUAUAGCUGGUAAUUACUAAUUGACUAAUCUGAAGGUCUUGAGCCGUCAAGCUGUUUAUCUGAUGAAGUCAAAUAAUACAUCUUUUAUACCUCGUAUAACAAAAUGGAAACAGGGUGAUGAAAGUGGGUCCUUGCUGGAUUUUGUGCUAGAAUGGGAUUCUCAAAAAACCCAAGAUGUUGUUCUGCGAAAGAAAUCUGAGUCAGGUGAGGAAGUUGCUAUUUCAGCCCUAUUACGAGGGCAGUCUUUUGAACCAGAUGGUGAAUUUCCCCCAGCCACUGAUGUUAAGAUGAAAGUGUGCAUAAAGAAGCCUGGGUUGAGAUCCAUCCUGCUGUUUGAUUGUGAAGUUUCUAACAGAGGUGAAGACAAGUCAGGCUUCAAUAUCCAGAAUGCCUAUUACAUCCAAUCAGCAUCUUGCUUCAGUCCUUCGGUAUAUAGAGGCCCCUUAUUCAGGUAAUGCAUUUGGGUCUUUGAUAGCUGUUAUUAUGAUAUAACUAUUUCUGGUUACUUAUGAGCUAGUAUUGUCUUGCAUAAGGAUCAAUGGCAAUUGAUUGUAAGUGGCUAGUUCCAGGAGGUGAAUCUUUUCUUGAAAAUAGAAAAUUGUAUGACUUAAUGAUGUCAGGCAAUAUAAUUAAGAGGAUGAUGACUGCUAUUGAUAAGCAUUGGUAAUCUUUUGGUUAGGCGUCAAGAAAACCAACGUAUGGUAAGAUCCACCUGGGAGAAUUACAUAGGACUGUGCCCUGAAGUAUGCCUACACUCAUCAAUGGAUCUUUAUCCUACUAUUUGCUUUUUCAGAACAACCCAAAAAAUUAGGCACCCACUCCAUUGCAAUACAAUUUCCACAAUUUCUCUCGUUAAAACUGCAAAUUACGGGGGGUACAUGUAUCAUAAUACUACACUUCUCAGCUGAGAAGAAACAACUGGUACCAAAGUGCCUGAUGUGGUAAGUAGGGAAGCAUAUGUAUCCAAGGUCAGAUAUACAACAUAAUCAGGAUAAGACUGCUUGCUAUUGCUUGCUCCCCUUAGCAAUAAGAGUAGAGAAUAAAAGUUUAACGGAUUCUUGAAAGUCAUAAUGAAAUUGAGCUUGUUUUGGACCUUCUGUUUUUGUGUGGCUGGCUUGAUCAUGAGUUUUGGGGUUUUAUCCUUUUUACAUUGAAUAUCAUUAGCUAUUUCUUAGAAUUAACAAGUUAGUGUCGUGCGUAAUUGAAGUUUUCCAUGUUUAAUCGUCAAGGCUAAUAUUCUUAUUUGAUUUUGCUGAUGUUGAUGCGCAUUUUAAUGCUGACAUUUUGGUAGUUUAGUUGGUCUUGUGUGUAUGAAGUUUUCCAUGUUUAAUCGUCAAGGCUAAUUUUCUUAUUUGAUUUUGCUGAUGUUGAUGCGCAUUUUAACGCUGACAUUUUGGUAGUUUAUUUGGUCUUUUUGGUAGUUUAGUUGGUCUUGUAUGUGUGAAGUUUUCCAUGUUCAAUCUUCAAGGCUAAUUUUCUUAUUUGAUUUUGCUGAUGUUGAUGCGCAUUUUAAUGCUGACAUUUUGGUAGUUUAGUUGGUCUUGUAUGCACCUGUAACUUUUUGCUUCUGCAUCUUUAGCAUCCUUGGUUCUGUUAAUCCUCUGGUUAUCUUGAAAGGCUUUCUCAAUAUCCUGUGAAAUUACAUGGAAUCGCUCUCAGUUUUUUGCUCAUAUUAUCCUGUGAAAUUACAGGGAAUCACUCUUAAUUUUUUGGUCAUAUUAUAGACAUAUAAUAACUUGGUCAUAUUCACUUGUUUAGCAUCUUUGAUUACACUCCUGUAAACCAAUUGACUGUAAUUUCAACCUUUUGGCUUGAUGAUGCCAAGCUGUGUGAGGUUUGGUUCAGGGAGCUAUUAAGAAUUGUCUAUGCUGGUGUGUGAUCUUGUUUGGGCUUCCACCAAGCCUUUAUGCUUUGACCUACCAUGUGCAAGUUUAGUGCUGUGUUGUAAUGGGGUUUGUAAGCAGACUCGGAGGGUGAAGCGGUAAUAUUUGUCAAGAAAUAAUAAUAGUAAUGAUCUUGAAUUGACAUUGAUGCAUUACUGCUUGGCAAACAUGUUUAUACGAGUACUGGUAGGAGUCUGAUACAUAAACCGAAAAGCCAUAAUCAACGCGAAAAACCACCAUCAUGGUUUAGAGCUAAAUACCUGACCCGCAGAAGUAAAAGCUUCGAAGGUUGCUCUACUUCAGAAUAUUCACAUUUCCACUAAUGGGCCAAUGAGAAAUCAAAAUACCAAGAUCUAAAAAUUUCUAGAGAGGCAGGGAAGAGAAGUUUAGUGUGUUGUCUUGGGUUUUGAAUAAAUACUUAGGAAGGGCUUCUCUGAUUAUAAUGAGUAUAGGGGUAUUCUUUUAAACAAUAGCUGAAACUUGCUCGUAUAAGCAAUUGAUAGCUCAUUCUGGCUUAAUUCUCUGUCAGCUCUUCCUUCCAUCUCUCUUCUGUCUUUCAAAUGUGUAAUGAUAUUUUUACAUCCUUCCUUUUGGUAGUGACUUGGACCCUCAGUUGCAAGAUGAGCUCAAGAAGUAUCUAGAGGCCAGGGGAAUCGGAGAAAGCCUUCUGAAUUUUCUCCUUCUUCACCUAAGGAAGAAGGAGCAGAGUCAGUAUGUGAACUGGUUGCAGAAAUUGGAAUCUGCUUUCAGGGAAAGUGAUUGACAUGGACAAAUGCUAAGGGGGGGUUUUAGGAUUUAAUACUUUCACAACUGUUGGUGUACCAUCUCAUUGUUAUUGUGGGGGAAAAUUGCUCUGUCUGUGGAUUUUGAUUUUCCGAGAGCCUGUUUUCACUGUCCCAAGGAAACUUCACUACUAUCAGCUGAUUGUACAAUUUUGCCCAUUUAAGUGUAUCAUCUCCCCCACAAUUUUUAGUCUGUAUUUUCAUGAAGAUGCAAAUGUUCCACCACCUUAAAUGCCUUGACUGAAGUUAGUCAAAAAAUUGUUGCCUUUGAGAAUCCUUUUGGAUUGUGAUUUUUCACAAAAAAAAAUUUUACGUUUUCCGUGAACACGUUUUUCAAUUAUCUUUUUACCUCACAUAUAUUAAAUUAUUACAGUACAUUUUUCUAUAAAAAUUUAUAAAAAUAGCAAUCAAAAAAGCUAGAGAAAAAUGGUGGUAAUCUAUGUUUACCAAUGCUCGUGCAAAGAAGGCCUCUGCAGAACAAGGAUAAGGACAUAUAUAUAUAUAUAUAUAUAUUAUCUUAGGUUUAAAUACAUAUUGCCCCCUUGUAAUUAGGUAUUAGUAGCAAAUUAGCUCUUGUAUUCAUGAAGUCUACAAACUACCCCCUCAUGAUAAUAGUCUUAUGUAUUUAGAUAGCAAAAAGACAAUUAUACUCCUUAUUAUUAGAAUAUUAUCAAAUGACCAUGUCUCUUUCUUUUUCUUCUUGUUGGUUUCUUUAUUGUUGUUUAAAUUUCUUUUUCCUCCUCAAUUCCUACUAUGAAAUACAAAUUUCAAUAAUAAUAAUAAUAAUAUGUUAAAGAAGUUCUUGUAAAAAAUUAAUUAUUGUAAGAAAUUAGGAAGUAUUUAUCUAUUUAUUCUAAGGAAUCUCUAUUUUAUUAACAAAUCCUUGUUAUGCAUUAAUUGUAACUGAAACUAAAAAUUAAAUACUUAGUGUAAAUAUUUUACUUAUAUUUUUUCCUUUUCUUCAUCUUUGUUUCUUCUAUAUGUUUUUAUUAACAAUCUAUUUGAUAUUCAAACACAUUUGGUUCUUUUUGUUUGGUAGAAUAUUUAUCUAUUGCAAAACGUUAUAAGAAACUAACAACUGUAUAUUUAGUAAUAAUAUUUUUUGUAAUUUUAUUUUUAUUAAAAUUUAGUGCAUCGCCAACAUUAUAUUAACCAUUAAUGCACAACAAGAUACUCUUAAAGGAAAACAGAAACUCCUUAAAUUAAUUUUAUUAAAUAUACACUUUCUUAUUUUGUAUAAUAAUUUAUGAUUGUUCAAUAUUUUACAUAACUAAAUAAUGAUAAGUAUAGUUAUGCAUCAAAAGGAAUUGUUUACAAGAAAAAUAAUAGUAUAUUUUAAACCACGAAAAAAAUUUAAUAUAUUAUUUUCAAAAUUGUAUAUCAAAGUUGAUUUGGAGGAGGAGUAAAUAGAAAUCUAUAUAUAAUAGGAAAAAAGAGAAAGAAGAAAGAGAAAAGGAAAAAGAUAAUUGACAGUGUUUAAUAAUGAGGAAUAAUUAUCUUUUUGUCAGAGACAUGCGUUUGACAAGUUGUCAGUUGGGAGUAAUAUGUUUAUUUUGUGAAUAUCGGGGGUAAUUUGCUACUUGACCCUAAUUACAGGGGGCAAUAUGUGAUUAAGCCUAUGUCUCAUAGAAUAAUUGUAGCUCUCAAAGCCAAAAGAGCAGAUAUGGCGCUAAGGAAGGUUGAAAAAGAUACCGGCUUUUGGAGUUACUGUAGGGAGUUAGGUUUAUUUGUCGAAACUCUUACUUUCAGUAAGAAAAUGUUAGAAAGAAACUCAUUCUCAGGGGCUUGGGGGGUCUUUAUCUUCUAGCAGCAGGGCACCCUGUGGGGUUUCUAUCCCACAUCGGUAAAAUUAGGGGUUGGGGUUAGAUUUGUAAGUCCCUCACAGGACUCCCAAAGUUACCGGCUUUUGGAGUUACUGUAGGGAGUUAGGUUUAUUUGUCGAAACUCUUACUUUCAGUAAGAAAAUGUUAGAAAAAAAACAAGAAAUGCCCUUCUAGAUUGGAUAGCAAAUUCAUCUCAGCAAUUAAGUUGAACUUAAUUGGAUUCCGCUAUGGGCAGGCAGCCAGUCACUGAAAAAGCAGGUUUCAGCAUGGCAGGACAAUGAAAUACAGUAGAUGACUGAGUUACUAUGGCUUUUAUUUGGAUUUAGUCAUUGGUUGUCUAUUGUCUAUCAUUUUCUUUUUUUAUUUAUAUGUAUACUUGGAGCUUGAUAUGCUGAAAUAGAAGGAUCUCAAGCUUAACUGCUUAACAGCAUAAGGAGGACUAGCUUUCAGUAUGGCUUGUAAUUAUGCUUCUUCAUAUAGGUUAACUUUAGAACUAUUCAACUGGAGGUCUCCCCCUGAACUUUGAUUUUAGUUUUCUCGUGGGCUCAUGCUCAUGGGUGUAAACUGUAAGGUGGAUUGAAUCAGAGAAUAUGUACAUGACAACAAAUUUGUCAGGUAAAAAUAAGUAAGAAUACCAAUGACUGUUUAUAUAUAUAUAUAUAUAUAUAUAUAUAUAUAUAUAUAUAUAUAUAUAUAUAUAUAUAUAUAUAUAUUUGGUAUAAACUACAGGUAUUUGCAUCUGUUUUGCGGUCUGCGACUAAUCACGUUCGAAUCGGAUCGGAUCGGAUCCCUUGUAGAAGAAAACUCUUCCAAUGUUGUCAUUUCCAUUUACACGAGUUUCGAACCUAAAAUCUCAUGAUUAAAAUAUGUAAGCCCGUUCUACUUACACUAACAUCUGUUGGUACCAAUGGUUGUGAAUCGUAAUAGUUAUUUGAAAUAUGGAAAAAUGCAUAGAACAUCAUAAAAAUAAAAAUAAGAAUGGUGAUAGGUAUUUUUUGCAGAAAUAGGAACAUAUGAUAGGAUACUCUGAUCUCAAUUUUCUACCGGAGAUGCUUAAUAACAUCAUCAAGUUUGUCAGAGUUUGUGCAAACAGGAUAGUUCAAUCUAUGAUGGACCUAAAAUCAUCAAUCGUAUUAUUAACUGAUUAUUCUAUAGGGUGGUAUAUCUCUGUCAAUGAUUUCAGGGCAGAAAAACGUUUUGUUUAUCAACUCUAAAAGAAAGUUAACCUAAUCAGCAAAAGAAACUAACAUGCGGGUAAUGCUUAUUAGCAUUGGGACGCAGGAGUAAUGCAAUUAGAUAACAAACACUUGAUCCCAAAUUGAUUUACAACUAACAUUAAGAUAUUUAUUUACAGCAAAUGAAUGGCCAAAAAUGGAAAAAGAGGAACUUAGCGGACUUGCACAUUAACUCAAUCUAUAUUUAUCUAAAUUAAGUCUGAAUAUUGAUAAACUUUUAUAUUCAGUAUUAACUAGAUAAUGCAAGCGAAAUUGCGACAUUUAAUUACGAGAAAUAAAGGUUACACAUGAAUUACCAUAUAAGGAUGAGAAUUGUGAAAUUUAUUCACAAAAUAAUAGGACCACGAGAGAUUUUGUUGAAGAAAUAAAAGGGGAACCAUUUUGUUAUUGAUUUGUACUUUAGUCGUAUAGUUAUGUUUCUUAGUGUUAAUCAUACACUAAAAAAGUGGUUAAUUAUGUUAAAUCCCACUAAAGUAUACCUUGAUCCUCAUUUUAUCCUUGACCUUUUAUUUCUGUCACUUAAAUCAUUUUUUAUACCCAACUAUCUCUCUAUUAUUGUACUUUUUCUUCGUCUUCUCUAUUCUUUUUCCUUUACCUUUUCUCUUCCUUUGUCAUCUUUUUUCAUUUUUUCCCUUUCUUCUAAUUUUGUCAUUCAUUCAUAAAUCCUUCAUGUAGUUGAGGGAUUCUCAAAAAUCUCAAAUAAUUUAGGGCUAAUAUAUAAUUUUCUUUUACUUAAUCCUCCACUUUGCUGGUCUUCUCCUCUUUGCUAUGAUUAGAAGGGGAAAAAAAAGAGAAAAUCAUACAGCUAGACUAGGUGGGUUGCUAUUAUUAUCACUAGAUUAUUCUUUGCUGCAGUUGCAACCCAUGCCUAAAUUCUUUUUGUUUUUGUUCUCUUUAAUCUGCCUCAUCUGAAAUAUCAUUAUUAAACAUUAUUUAAAAAGUACUCUAAAAGUACUUUAAAGAAUAGUUUAAUUUUUUUUAAUGUUUAAAAAAUAUUUCAAAAUAUAUUUUAAAAACUCUACUACUCUUAAAUAUUCCAAAAUAUUUUCUAAAAAUAUCCUAAAAUAUACUCUAAAAACUCUGCUAUAGUAAUUUUUUUUAAAAACGCUCCUAAAAAUAGCUAAUCUAAACGGACUUAUUCUAGCAACUAGAAGGGAGCGGUGGUGGGGGAGGGGGAAGGGAGAAGAAGAAGAGAGGAAAGAAAAGGAAAAAGAAAAAAAUAAUUUCCAUCAAAAAAAAUUUUCUUACAACUUCUACAGUAAAAUUUUAGCUAAACGCCUAAAAAACUCAUUUGUCAAAUGGACCUAUGUGUUGUAACAUAAAUAUAGUCAAAGAAUUGAAUGUAUAAAUUGCAUAAUACAAUUUUGAAUUCCCUUUCAAUCUCCCCCUUUAGACUCUAUGCCAUAUCUCAGAUGUUGGAGCCUUUAUAAUUCUCUCUCUUUUUCUUUGAUCCAAAAGGUGCCCAUCUCUCUCUCUCUCUUCUCUAUUUUUUUAAAUUAGUCUCUAGUUUCUUAUUUAUCAUUAGUUACCUAAAAAAGUUUGGGGAUUUGGAGUAAAGAGAUAAUGUGAAGAAAAUAGGAGAAUAAAAACAAGAAAAGAGAAAAGAAAGCAAAAAAUAAUUACUUAUAACUUAACAAUUUUGUCGGAGUGAACAUGAAAAAACGAUUAGGGGGUAAAGUAAAAAUCAUGGCAUACCUUAGGGGGAUUUACCGUAAAUAACCCCCAACAAGGCCAAAAAAAAAAAAAAUCUGCGCAUUAUGUAUAUCUAUAUCUCUAUACUAUAUAUAAGAAGCACUUUGUGCUUCUACUGUUGGGGAUUUCGAGUGCAUCCGUUUGCUUUAAGCUCUUGUACCUUGGGCUGCUGUUUUGUACGUUGAGUGGUGGGACCGCUCUUUAUAAAUUGGAGCCAAGCAUUUGAUGUGAGUUGACUGCUCCCACUGCUGCUUCAGCUUUUGCGGUGAUUUGAACAUCCGACUGCUGGCUGUGCAGCUGGCUUUCAUAGCUUCUGUUGUACUUCAGAGCUGUGUGGAUGGAGAAGGAAAAAAGGCUUUUUCUCUUCAAAUUUUAGAAUCUAAAAUUUAUUAUAAAUGAAUGUUUACAAGCGAUUUAACGUUGAAAUAGGAAAACACAGAAUCCCGCUUGCGGGUUUCAGCGUUAUUAUGCAGUCGAGAUUUUUAAAUUUUUUGUUCUACUCCACAAUUGUGUGGUCUUUUGCUCUUCAAAUUUUAGAAUCUAAAAUUUAUUAUAAAUGAAUGUUUACAAGCGAUUUAACGUUGAAAUAGGAAAACACAGAAUCCCGCUUGCGGGUUUCAGCGUUAUUAUGCAGUCGGGAUUUUUAAAUUUUUUGUUCUACUCCACAAUUGUGUGGAUGUCGAAAAAAUUUAACCAAUCCCAAAAAAUUUCAAAUCCCUUUGAUCAUGUGUUAUAACGUUUAAAGUAAUUUCACUUAAAUCAUAAUCAAUGUUUAGAAUUGAACUUAAACCAUGAAUUGAACUUUGUCCGACAAGUUUAAUAUUAAAACGUGUUUAAUAUUAUCAAAUGUCUUUAUAUUAUCAAAUUAAACACAUUUUGUAUUAUCAAACAUUUUGUUUAUAUUAUCAAUUGUUUAAGUAAAAUGUAUUCUGGUUUUUAAUAUAAAAAACCAUCACUUGUGUUUAAGGGGUUUCUAAUAUAAGGAUAACCAUCUAUAUAUUUAUUUUAAAAAAUUGAUAAAUUGAUAAAGCUAAUAGGCAUUAAAAAAUAUCUAGAAUUAUGGUGGAUAUAAGAGAACAACUAGAUAAAUUUAUAUAUUUAUUAAGUGAUAAGUGAUAAGUGGAUAUAUUUUUUUUAUAUGCAUAUGUGAUAAACAUGAGAUAUACUCUAUUCCUCAAUUUUGACCAAAGAGUUCAAUCAUGUGUCAUAGGGGUUAAAUCACUUGUCUCCCACUACCAUCUAUUUUUUACUGUUUUAGUCAUUCUGAUGCUUAUUUUGUGGACCACUUUCUUCCUAAGGUUGGCUAUAUUUGUCAUUUCCAGAUUCUUUGUCUCGAUUUUGCAUAUUUCUUGUUUUUUACUGAUCAUCGAUGAAUACAUUGGCACCAGAGAUUUCAUGCAAACAAUUUGCUACGUUCAAAAAACCAGUUUACAUGCAAAUUACAGCGCAUCUUGCAUCUUACAACUUGCUUCAUACAGCUUGCUUCGAAUCAGGUAUUUUCUUAUGCUAAUCCAAACUUAGUUCACAUGAGUUUUUCAGCUGUUCCAUGCAACUAGAAAUUUCUUUUAUUUUAAUCUGUACUGAGGUGCUCCAAUUUCUUAUAAUACGCAGUAGCAGAGAUACUUUGAUAAGCUUCGUCUGCUGUCUCCAUGGAGGUUUUCUACUCUCUUUCCUUCGUUCAACUGGUUUUUUAUUGUUUUUUAAUAUAUUUAGUUCAUAGCUCAUUCCAUCUGUACUGAUAGUCUUCAUCCUUUUUAGCUGAAUAGUUUGUUCCUUGCACAUCACCACUUAUAUACCUAUCUAUCGAUAUAUAUAUAAACAAUAUAUAUCUGUCCAUACGCAUAGAUUUUCCUCUGUCUAUCUUUGUUUGUUGCUUGGUAUAUAUGUAUAAAAAACAUGAGCUGCUCCAAGCUAUCCAUAACGGAUGAUCCUGAUAAACUUCGUGAGAAAAAGGAUAAGCGAAAUCGUAAAAAAAGAGAAAAAUUUGCUGCUCUAUCUGUCGAAGAGAAACAGGCUCAGCGCAAAAAAAACAGAGAAGCUUAUCACAGAAAAAAAUUGGAGAAAAUACUUUCCAAGUCCUUGCCACAACAAUUUCAAGAAGCUUCUCAAUCACCAGUUUCUGCAUCUGUUAUCCGUAGCCUUUCUCCUCAACAAUGUUCUCAUGGUACAUAGUGAUUCAAAAACUCUUACUAUAUUCUCAUAAUCUGUAUGUGCAUAGCAUAUUUAUCAUAACCUGUCUAUUUCCCUUAUUUUGUUGAUGACUAGCUUUGAAUGAUAAAGUUAUCCAAGCUAUUGGUUCUCAAACUUCCAAACUCAAUGAGAAUGUUCAUGGAAUUAUUGGUUGUAAUCAAGGUUAGUCAUAGAAUUUUUUUUCCUUUACCAACUUUUCUUAGAAUUCCAACCCCUACUUUUGUAUAUAUUGAAUUGCAAAUUUUUCUACCUGACUUUCAGGCGAUUCACGCAGUGAAUUCUCACACUCUCAUUUUACAGAACACUUUACAGGUACCAUUUCUAUCUACUUUAAAUCAAUGAAUUCAUGUCAACUUAGUUGUAUAUGUAUUAGUGUUUCUUGCUAUAUUGUAGUAAAUUAGACUGUGCAUUGUUUGUUAUCCAAUCUGAAUUUCAUUUUUUUUAUAAUAUUCAUGCAACCAAUCUGAACUCUGUCUAUUGUAAUAGGUGCUCCAAAACCUGGUAUUCAGAUUUCUCCCUCUGCAAAUAACAGUGAUGAACUAGCUUCUGCUCAGUUGGGUAGAAAAUUAAAGGAACAGAUUUCUUGCUUCUCAAGCUAUGAGAAAGGUACAUGGUGUACUUUGUUUUUGAUAUAUCUUUCCUACUCAAAUCAUAAACAGUAUUCUAUUGAUACAAUACUCCAUCUCUAAUUUUUAUACGUAGGAUCUGCUUCUAACUGUGGUACACAACAUACAUGCGUAGCUACUGACAUGCUGCACAAUGCAGGUGAUUUAAGCUUCGAAAUUAAUCAUUGAUUAUUGCUUCUUAUAUAUAACCAUCAACAUUAUCAUGAUCAGUUAUAUUAGUAUUCUUGUUUACUUUUCAGAUAAAUCAUUCAUAUGCAUGAACUGCUACAAAUUCUUGACAGAAAUAGCUGAACAAACUUCAGGUCAAAUGUUCUUUGAGCUUUUUAAAAAAAUUCCUUCUGCGAUUGUGUCUAACAAUUCCAUGAACUUUACCUUGAACAGAUUUGUCAGCUAUCCUCCCAAUGUACCAGCUGUAUCAAGUCCCUGAUAAUUGUUCUGCUAAAACAAGAAGAAUUGCAGGUUAUUAGCUUUGAUCUGAAUUUACUAUCUUGUAUAUAGAAAAACUCAAAUUACCAUAUGAGCUGCUUGACGAUUCUCAUUUCUCACUAUUGUUUCUUAUUUCUCACUCAAGUUUCUUAUUUCUCACUAUUGUUGUAAACUAAUUUGCCAUAAAAAAUCCAUCAAAUAACCAUCUCAUUAAAAUAUAUUAAAUUGUUUAAUUGCUUCUGAUGUUGAUCAGAAAACUUCAGUAUGCAUUAUGUAACCUCAAACCACUUCUAUUCAUACAAAUACCUUGAUCAUAUUACUACCACUACAUGUAUAAAGCUUAUGGCUUCUGCUUCUAAUUAUAUAUACUUGAAUCAUUCAGGCAAAAAGCAUUCAUCAGCGAAACAAGUGAAAGCUAUUAAUAACAAAAAGAAAAAAAACAGAGGUACAGAUUACAAAUCACUGAUUGUUCCUCUUUUACCUCCUUAUGUUCAGUUCCAACCUUUAGUUUAGCUGAACUAAUUGCUAAAUCUAUAGGUAAUCAGCCUGUUGAUGGAGUUCAUGCACUCAAAUUUAUUAAUCAUCAGGCAGAUAGAUUACCUGCAAAAGCUGAUUGUCAGUACUGUGGAGGGAAAAAAAUGCACUCUGAGACACCCAAUUUCUGUUGCUCAGACGGACAAGUAGUUCUCCAUGAGAAUAAAUUGCCAGAUAUUCUUGUAGAAUUGUUCACUGGUCAUUCUGAUGAAGCUUUAUCCUUUCGUACAUAUGUCAGAACAUAUAAUAAUAUGUUUGCCUUUACUUCCUUUGGUGUACACUAUGAUAAAUCACUUUGCAAGAGAACAAAUGGCAUUUAUACCUUCAAAGUUCAAGGACAAAGCUAUCACUUUAUCAAAGACCUUAUUCCACAUGGAGGAUCUGGAUUAUAUCUGCAACUGUAUUUUCAUGAUACAGAUCAUGAGCUUCAAAACAGGAUGGCAGUUUCAGAAAGAUUAACAGAGAGUAUAGUAAUGAAGAUCAUGGAAGUCAUGAAGUCUAAUCCAUACGCAUGUUUUCUGCGCAGUCUAAGAAACGUUCCAAAUUUGGAUUCAUAUCAGAUAGUCCUGAAAUCACAUUCACAGAAUGAUCAACGAGUAUUCAACCAUCCAACAGCUUCUCAGGUUGCAGCUCUUUGGACAGAAACAGAGAGUUCAGGAACAAGUUAUGCUAGACACAUUAAAAUUUAUACAAAAGAAGGAAGGGAUCACCUCGUCCAGUACUAUUAUGGCUGUUACGAUCCUCUCCAAUAUCCACUAUUAUUUGCACUUGGUGAAACAGGCUGGCAUCCUGGAAUCAGAAGAUUUGUCAGAGAAAAUGCCAAAAAGAGAAAAAGAUCUGUUCAGAGAAACAAACCUACUGCUGUCCUCACCAAUUCCAAAUCUGCUGAAGACAUGAUAUCUGCUGAAGAAGAAGGUAUUCCUAAGAUGAAUAACUAAUACAUUAUCUAUAUGCAAAUAUCUUAUACAUUACUUAUGUACAUUGCUCACAUCUUGCUUACAUAAUUACUGAUCCUGAAUUACUUGUUUUGAGAACAUACUACUCGCAUUAUCUUCGAUUAGUCUCACAUGAUCCUAUAUCUUAUCAAUGUAUGCAACUUCAUAUAGUGAAACCAGUUACUUAUACCUUAUUUUUGUAACUUUCAGUUUCCAAUGAUCCUGAAAACAAUGGUGAAUUUGUGUCAAUGCGAGAAUAUUAUGCUUAUAAAUUGCAGAUCAGAGACAAAUAUUCUCCAAACAUACUUAACACUGGUAGAUUACUUCAGCAAUAUGUUGUGGAUAUGUACAUCAAAAUUGAAAGUCAGAGAUUGGAUUACUAUAAAAGCAAACAAGAAUUCAUAAGGAGAGAGCAGCUGCAAGGCGUAAUGGAUAGUGUUAUAACAGGUCAAUGCCAAGCUUCAAAAGUAGGCCAACGAGUAGUCCUUCCAGCUUCAUUCAUAGGAGGCCCUCGAGACAUGAAAAGGAGAUAUGUUGAUGCUAUGGCUUUGGUCCAGAAAUUUGGCAAACCAGAUUUAUUCAUUACAAUGACUUGCAAUCCUUCAUGGCCAGAGAUAAAGAAUCUCAUGCUUUCAACAGAUGAAGCACAUAACAGGCCGGACCUGCUCACUCGAAUCUUUCACGCAAAGCUUGAUGUUUUAAAACAGGAGUUAUUCAAGAAAGAAAUAUUCGGAUCUGUUGCUGCUUACACAUAUGUCAUAGAGUUCCAGAAAUGCAGUUUACCUCAUGCUCAUUUCCUUAUAAUUCUGAAGCCAUGUUCAAAACUUUACUCGACAGAUUCUUAUGACAGAAUAGUUAGUGCAGAGAUUCCAGAUGAAAGCAAAAAUUCACAUCUUUUCAACAUGGUUCGCAGACACAUGAUUCAUGGCCCUUGUGGAAAAAGAAAUCCAACCAAUGUUUGUAUGCGAGGAGAACAUCAGAAAAAAUGCAGGAAUAAUUAUCCAAAACCAUUUGCCGAUAAGACUUUUCAUGGAGAUAACACAUACCCUACUUAUCGAAGAAGAAACAAUGGAUACAAAAUGAUGGUCCGUGGACAUGAGCUUGAUAACAGAUGGGUUGUUCCAUACAAUCCUUACCUUCUUGCAAAAUUCAACUGCCAUCUGAACGUGGAAAUCUGCUCUACAGUCAAGGCAGUAAAGUACAUGUAUAAGUAUAUCUACAAAGGUCAUGACAAGAUUCAUUUUGUACUCAAUUCACAGGAUUCUAAUCAGCUGAAUUCUGAUGGUCAUGUCUGUGCAAUCGAUGAGAUCAAAGACUAUCAAUCGGCUAGAUGGGUCUGUGCUGUGGAAGGUAUAUGGAGAAUAUACAGGUUCCUGCUGUUUCAAAUACAUCCUGCUGUUAUUCACUUACAGCUUCACUUACAAAACUGUCAAGCAUUGAAUUUCAGAGAAGACCAAGACCUACGUGAUAUAGUAGCAAAUAGAUUUGCUAAGAGAACCAUGUUGACAGAAUUUUUCUAGAUGAAUUCUACUGAUUCUCUAGCUCAGAAUCUCAAAUGUACUUACAAACAGUUUCCUGAGCACUUUGUUUGGUAUCCAGGAAGGAGGAAAUGGGAACCAAGAAAGCAGAAAGACUCUAUAGGUAGGAUAGUAACAGCCAACCCAAUGGAAGGAGAACGAUACUUUCUCAGAUUGCUACUCACAAAUGUCAAAAGUCCAACUUCAUUCGAUGACUUAAGAACAAUAAAUGGAGCAUAUGUACGUACUUUUCGGGAGGCAGCAAUUCUCAGGGGUUACUUUGAGUCUGAUAAGUCACAACAACAAUGCCUUCAGGAAGCAGCUAUGUAUCACAUGCCAUAUACUUUGAGAAGAUUAUUUGCCACACUACUUGUUCAUUUUCCUCCUUCAAAUGCCAGGUAUCUUUGGGAACAAUUUGAAGAGCCAUUAUCUCAAGAUAUCAGCAGAACUCCACAAGUAUCAGUUGAUCAAAUUCGUUUCCAGAUACUGUACCAGAUAAAUCAGUUCCUACAAUCAAUGGGAAAAGAUAUCAAUGAGUAUGCUUUAGUUCCAAAUAUCAUGAAUUUUGAUAGCUUGAACAACAACACUCGUGAUAUAAUAGCUGAAACAACAAUCUCUGUACCAGAGCAUGACUUAUUAGCAAUUGAACAAUUAAAUGCUGAUCAGAAAAAAGUUUUUGAUAUUAUUAUAAAUGCAGUUUUUGUUGAAAAAAAAUGAGCCUUUUUCAUUGAUGGACCAGGCGGAACAGGAAAAACAUUCCUUUAUCGAGCACUACUAGCAGAAAUCAGGUCAAAAGGACACAUAGCUCUGGCUACAGCAUCCUGUGGAGUUGCGGCUUCGAUUCUUCCAGGUGGAAGGACAGCUCAUUCAAGAUUCAAGAUACCAAUUAGUGGAACACGAGAUAAGCAAUGCAGAAUUAGUAAACAAAGCUCAUUAGCAAAACUGCUGCAAUCUGCAAUUCUGAUCAUCUGGGAUGAAGCUCCAAUGACACACAAGACUUCAAUUGAGAGUGUUGACAAAAUUCUCAGAGACAUAAUGGACUGCAACAAUUUGUUUGGAUCAAAGGUCAUUGUUUUUGGAGGUGACUUUCGUCAAGUCUUGCCAGUAGUAACAAAAGGAUCAAAAUCUGAAUUUAUCGAUGCAAGUAUAGUGAACUCAUACAUAUGGCCACAGCUACAUAAGUUGCAUCUGACUCAAAAUAUGAGAGCAAGAUAUGAUGCAGAAUUUACUGAAUAUCUACUCCGCAUCGGAAAUGGAACAGAGCUAUUUAUCUCCAAGAAUUCUAUCCAGAUACCUGCAUCAAUGCUGAUAAGAUAUACCAAUGAGGAAGAAUCAAUGAACACAUUGAUCCGCACAGUGUUCCCAGAUUUGAACGCUUUUUGCCAGGACAAUUUCUCUGCAAUUAAUCGUGCUAUUCUGACAACAAAAAAUGACUUUGUGGAUCAAAUUAAUCAGAGGCUCAUUGUACAGUUCAAAGGACAAUUGCAAGAAUAUACCAGUCGAGACAAGUGUAUAGAUAGCUCUGAGCAGACAAUCAUGGAAGAUUUGCUAAACAGUUUGACUCCAAAUGGUUUCCCUCCUCAUAAGCUGCUUCUCAAACCAUACUGCCCUAUCAUGUUACUGAGAAACAUCGAUCCGCCUCAGGGAUUAUGUAAUGGCACCAGGCUGAUAUGCAAAUCCUUGAGCUCCAACAUUAUACAUGCAGUCAUAACAUGUGGAGAAUUUGCUGGAAAAGAAGUCUUCAUUCACAGAAUCUGUUUUAGAGCAGAGAAUAAUUCAGACUCACCAGUAUCAUUCGAACGAAUUCAGUUUCCUGUUCGACCCUGUUUUGCUAUGACAAUAAACAAAGCUCAAGGACAAACACUUGAUUUUGUCGGCAUAUAUUUGCGUGAGCCGGUUUUCUCCCAUGGACAGCUAUAUGUAGCAAUGUCAAGAGCUAAGAAUAGUAGUUCUAUUAAAAUUCUGAUUAAACCAUCAAUAUUUGACGACCAAGAAGACUCAAUUACUGAAAAUAUAGUAUAUACAGAAGUACUAGAUUUAGCUUACCAAUCACUGUUCUAACCAUUUAUAUAUCAGUUAUUUGUAUAUAUUCAUGAUUUUACACCUUUCUUUCGCUUCAUCCAGCACUUAGCUACUUAUAUUAUGAGUUGCAGGAGGAAAAAAAUAUCAUCUCAUUUGCUGAAAUAAUUCCUGGACUACAAAACUGGACAACUAUGGUUCAGGUUCUAGACAAGCAAAAGCCAUUACUCUCAAAGGCAGGAAACCGAUAUCAGAAGCUCAUAUUAAUUGAUGAGCAGGUAAUACAAAUUCUCAAUUUUAUGUCAUGUUCUUUAUUACUCAAUUUUGACAUUGACAUCAAAACAACCAUGACUAUUCUCAGGGGUCAACAGUUGAAGCAAUGAUUUAUAAAUCAGACAUUGAGUUCUUCCGAAAUCAUUUCCAACUUUACAAGCGAUACAUUCUCUGCAAUGCUAGAGUUGAGUACACACCAUCAGAGUAUUCCACUCAUCCAAAUCAGUGCACAUGGUACAUAGACAACUCUACUGUUGUUCAAGCAGUGAAUGAAGUCGAGCCACCUCAGAUUCCAGCUGUGUUCAGAUUCUCACCCUAUAGAAGAUUCUACCAACAUAUGGAUGACAACACAGAUAUAGGUAACCAACAAAUCUUACUACUAACUUGCUACUGCACACAUUAUAGUUAUAACUCAGCACAAUUGAAAAUCAGAUGUCCUAGGCAUUGUCGCUGAAGUUCAUCCUCGGAUACAAAGGGCCACUACAGCUACUAGAGAAGUGGUACUUAUAGAUAAAAGGUAACUAAAACUAUCCAUUUAUUCUAUAUCAGUUCUAAACCAGCACACAUUGAUACAAAUAAUCUCUUCUAACAAAUGUUCAUCUAUCAAUCAAAUACACUACAGCAUGAUGCCAGUUAUCCUAACACUAUGGGGUGAGCAUGAAACAGAUGAAGGCCAAGCACUUGCAAAUAUAAUUGACACAAUGCCACUGAUUGUUGCACUUCGGAUUAAAGUAUCAUCAUAUCACAGUGAGUAUAUAAGAAAUUUCUUAUGCUCCACAUAUUUUCUGACUUUGAACAUACUGAACCUGGUAAAUAUUGCAGCACGUAAAUUGAACAUACUGAACCUCGUAAAUUGAACAUACUGAGCCACGUAAAUAUUGCAGCACUGAACCUGUCAACAAAAUUUGGAUCAAGCAUUCUUCUCAAUCCUCCAAUACAACAAGCUGCUGAUCUCAAGCACUGGUGACAAUUCUUCUCAACAAACAUCAUUUGAAAAUAUUUUCUAUUAACUGCAUAUUAUAAACAUUGUAAAUAAAACUUCUCUAUUCAUCACAAGGGCUAUUGAGAAUGAAGCAGAAAUCAAAAAAUUGAUAGCAGAAAAAGCAUACCACAACCGAGUUAAGCUUCUACCACAGCCAAGGGAUGACGAGCUGACCACUAUUCAAGACUUCCUGGCAUUUCCUACGGUAAAUUCUACAACCCAUCAUUUAUACACAAUAAUAUUUUCAGAUUUCUAACUACUCACUAUAAUUCAAUACAGAAAAAAGCUUACUGGUUGCGUGGUACUCCAAAAUUGCUAGACAAAAGCCAGCGAUUAUGGUAUAAUGCUUGUCCACAAUGCCAUAAAUCAUUCAGAGGAAAGCCUAUUUGGAAAAUUGUUUGCACCUCAUGCAACAAACAUGUGAAUAUAGUGACAAGAUCUCGAUUAACUGUAGAACUUGCUGAUUAUUCUGGAGUUUUAACGCUUGAUCUUUAUGAUAAUGAUGCCCUUCAGUUACUACCUUUCACACUUUUGCAGAUGCAAGAGUUAGAAAACAAGGUAAGAAAUACUGUUUCCAUAAGCAUAUAGAAUAUUGUCAUCAACAAAUAAGUAUACUGUAUCUAUUGUCAACCUGUUCAUUUUAAUUGUACAGCAUGAACUGAACUAUCAAGCUAUUGAAGAGGCCAUUAACAACACUAUCAUAACAUGCUUUGUGAAGAAAAUGCCAAACACCCAUGCAUCUGGCAGUACUGAAAAAUACUCUGCCAUUAUUCUGCACAAAUCCCUUCUAGCAGAGAUUAUAUCACAGAUUCCUUCAACCACUGGCUAUUCAGAACCAAAUCCAGAACUGCCUUCCACCAGUAUUGAUGAAAAUGUGGUCAGUACUGCUCCAAAAGACACAAAUGUGACUUCCAGUUGUCUCUCUACUCUUAAGAUCAGUGAGAGCCCAACUAAAAAGCAACGCAGUGACAAGUAUCAAAAGCAAGAUUGAAAAUGCCAUAUAUUCGUUCUUGCUAUUACAUACUUUUGAAGCUCUGCUGGGUUAACUUUUGAUAGCUGAAGCUUUCCUGUAUUUUGUGAUGGUCAAAUAUUUUACCAGCUUUUGUACACUUGCUUAGCUUUCUGUUCACUUUUGCUUAAAGAUAGUUAGCUAAGCUUUUUGAAAGUGCAAACGUACCACAGUAUCAUGUAUAACUUUUGAUUUGUACAACUUGGCUACUCAACUUUCUAUCCUUUAACGUUUCGUUCAUCAAGUGUUAGUAUAGUUUGUGAUUUGCAAAUAUUUCAGCAGAUUUUGUACAGUUCAGCAACUUCCCCUACAUUCUUAUUUAAACAUUGUUACCUCCGCUUUUUCAAAAUCCAAACGUACCAGAAUUUCAUUUAUAGUUAUUAACAUUUGCAUCACAGAAACUAAUCUCCCUUCACUCCCUUUCUUUUGCUUUGUGCUAUCAGUCAAAGCUGAUUCGAUAUUUACAAUCAUUUAUUCAUUGCACCUUCAUUUCCAAAACAGCCAAACACCAUACUACAAUGGAACUGAUUACCACCUCACCAAAUACAAAAACAAAUACACCAGGUACAAAUAUUAUCCAACUAAAGUUGCUAAACACAGUAUCUAACCACCAACUUAGACAUGGAAUACACUAGAGUACAACAGCAAACAUUUCCAUAAUACAAAUCAUAAAAACUCAUAAAAACAUACAUAGCUAUCCGCUAGAAAUUUCUCCCAGCUGCAUCAGAAAAUCCACCCAUAGCACUUUCAAUUGCUUUCCUCUGCUCUUCAACUUCUACUUCCAUACGACCAGCAAUUAUCUGCAGAAACGGCAAUUCUCCAAUAUUUCCUAAUGUACUUUCCAGCACACGAGCUUUCUCUGGAUGCCGAUAAAAACAUUUGAACAAAUCAUAUAUCUCAUUCCUAAGUAGAAUAUUAUUUGCUAAAACUCGAUCUGCACCCCUCAACAUCCCAUUAUCUUCAGUAUGGCCAGGCAAAUUUCCCCGCACAUCACUUAGUGAUAACCGAUUGAACAUAACCUCAAUACCUGGAUGCAAAUCACGCAAUACUCCAAUACGAUUAUCAGUGUAACUCAUCUUAAACCAAGAAAAAAUCACAAACACAAAUCACAAUAUACCAACCAAACUAACAAAUUUAUAUAGAACAAGUACAUCAUAAACCAAAAACAGACAAAUACAAAAAACAAAAAUAUACUGUAGACAUGUGAACCAAACAAUAAUAACAAACACAUAUAUACCAGACAAAAAAGCACUAUACACACGUGAAUCCCCUACUCUUUGUACGAACCAAAACAAAAGCAAUCAAUAGUCAACCUGUCUCAUUACAUUGUCCAAACAUCUAUAUAUGUGUUGCAUGGAACAGCUGAAAAUUAAGCAAUCCAAACAUCUUCAAACACAGACCUCUAUCAAUUUUAUCAUAUCCAAUCCAAUAUCCUACAAUUAUUCACCAUUCAUUAGUUCCAAAUCUUAUAGAUAAACAUCAGAUAAUAUACUUCAUUUUAUUACGCAUUUAAUCCAGAUGCAAAUUUUCAUACACAUUCAUUAGUUUACAGAUACAAAUCUGUAAACACGUUCAAUUCACAAGCUUUGCUUAUUACUUUGCCGCAUUUGUAUAUUCUUGGCAAACACAAGACACUCAUACAAAUCAAAACAUUAGUACUUUAUACAACAGACAGAAAUACAUAUGACGCUACUUUAUGUAGCAAAUACACGAUUAUCAUAUCCUUCAGAAACUGACAAACACAUCUUAAUGCUUUAAAACCAUACGCCAAACACCAAACUAACAAACACAUUUUCCCAAACUCCAACUCCUUAAUCACUUUCGCCGCCCAUGUCACUAGAAGAUGGCGGACUGGGAAAGUAAUACUUUUCUUCUAACACUUCCACCCUCAUCCUGUUGGCAAUCAACCCCAAGAUAGGAUAGCCUCUUCCAGUCCUAAGUGCAGCUUCCAAAACUGAAGCCCAAUCAUGAUGCCUGUAAAGCUCUUUAAACAAAUCACACAAUUCAUUUUUCAGCAAAACAUUUGCCACCUGAGCUCGUGCAACCGGUUCUGCCGGACGAUUCCGACAGCCAUUUCCCAUAGGAUAAGCUGCUCCACGAACAACAGCUAGCUGAUUAACCUCUUCGUCCACCUCUGGAUAAUAUAGUUGAACAGUGGGAAAUCUUGCGCUUCCGCUCGCCAUUUGCACACACUAACUAUCUACAGACAAGUACCAAAUAUAUACUACUUCUCCCUAUAUCACCUUCAACUAUGUAGGGAACAAACAAUACUACACCCGUGAAUUCCUGUACUUUUUACCCUCCUCCUACCCUGCAAAUUACACGUCUGAUACCACCUGCACACCAAAACAUCUAGCUCCUAUCCAAAUGUCAAGACCAGAUAUAUUCUAACACCGUCAACUAGCUGCCUUUCUACGCUAAUACAACACGUAAUAAGCAUAUAAUAACUCAAACAUAUUAUAAACAUAUAAAAUAUAAAUACUAAUAUAUAAUUUAAUUUAAUAAAUAUAAAAUAUAAUACUAAUCUAUAUAUACUAAUACUAAUUCACAUAUAAUUUAAUAAAUUUACAUAUGCACAGCACUAAUAAUAAACUCAAUUUCUAAAAUGUCCAAAAAAAUCAAGAAUUUAAUUAAAAUAUUUAAUUUAAAAAAACCGGAUUGCUCGAUUAGUACCAUAACUUUUCCGACAAAUUAAAUAAAAUUUUUGAUGUGUUUAAAUUAAAUCAAACGUUUAAAUCAAAUGUUUAGAUAAAAUAUUAAAACAUGUUUAAUAUUAUCAAAUGUGUUCAUAUUAUCAAAUUAAACACAUUUUAUAUUAUCAAAUGUUUAAGUAAAAUGUAUUCUGGUUUCUAAUAUAAAAAACCAUCAAUUGUGUUUAACUAAUUUGCUAUAUAUUUAUUCAAACAAUCACUAAUUGCAUUCUUAAAUAACUUUUUAAAACCAUUUUAUUCAACAUACAGAUACAAAACUUUAGUACAAUUACACCCUCUAAUAUAUAAUUUAAUUUAAUAAAUAUAAAAUGUAAUACUAAUCUAUAUAUAAUUCAAUAAACCUAUAUACAAAUAUAAUAUAUACUAAUUCUAAUUCACAUAUAAUUUAAUAAAUUUACAUAUGCACAGCACUAAUAAUAAACUCAACUUCUAAAAUGUCCAAAAAAAAUCAAGAAUUUAAUCAAAAUAUUUAAUUUAAAAAAACCGGAUUGCUCGAUUAUAAUUGAAAUUGUCAAGUCAUCCAUACCAUAACUUUUCCGACAAAUUAAAUAAAAUUUUUAAUGUGUUUAAAUUAAACCAAACGUUUAAAUCAAAUGUUUAGAUAAAAUAUUAAAACAUGUUUAAUAUUAUCAAAUGUGUUCAUAUUAUCAAAUUAAACACAUUUUAUAUUAUCAAAUGUUUAAGUAAAAUGUAUUCUGGUUUCUAAUAUAAAAACCCAUCAAUUGUGUUUAAGUAAUUUACUAUAUAUUUAUUCAAACAAUCACUAAUUGCAUUCUUAAAUAACUUUUUAAAACCAUUUUAUUCAACAUACAGAUACAAAACUUUAGCACAAUUACACUCUCUAAUAUAUAAUUUAAUUUAAUAAAUAUAAAAUAUAAUACUAAUCUAUAUAUAAUUCAAUAAACCUAUAUACAAAUAUAAUAUAUACUAAUACUAAUUCACAUAUAAUUUAAUAAAUUUACAUAUGCACAGCACUAAUAAUAAACUCAAUUUCUAACAUGUCCAAAAAAAAUCAAGAAUUUAAUUUAAAAAAACCCGAUUGCUCAAUUAGAAUUGGAAUUGUCAAGUCAUCCAUAGCAUAACUUUUCCGACAAAUUAAAUAAAAUUUUUAAUGUGUUUAAAUUAAAUCAAACGUUUAAAUCAAAUGUUUAGAUAAAAUAUUAAAACAUGUUUAAUAUUAUCAAAUGUGUUCAUAUUAUCAAAUUAAACACAUUUUAUAUUAUCAAAUGUUUAAGUAAAAUAUAUUCUGGUUUCUAAUAUAAAAAACCAUCAAUUGAACAAUCACUAAUUGCAUUCUUAAAUAAGUUUUUAAAACCAUUUUAUUUAACAUACAGAUACAAAACUUUAGCACAAUUACACUCUUUUACCUAGCGCCCGCGCAUCGCGCGGGACACCUCCCUAGUAUAUAUAGAUAUAUAGAAGUAGCGUGGGUCUGUGGGAGGUCUGCGGUCCACGGUUCAGUCGUGAACCGACAUCCAGAGAAUUCUACCUACCUGAACCCUAAGCACCAAAGCAAUAGAAGAGCAAUACGCAUAAAAAUCCACCCUUUCUUCCACAUUUGCUCGAUUCUCACAAAAGCUUGGAAUCGGCUCAUCGGUUCUCUCUCUCUCUCUCCGUCAAUCGCCCUGAUCGGAAUAAAACCUUAAUCAAGCUGGAAAAGAGGGAGAGACCAACAAUUCUGAACUACUAACGUAAGCGAUUCUUCAUGGACUCAAUUUUUUCUCUUUUUUUCUUUAACAAUCAUAUUAUUAUUCCUUUGUUUUUUUUUUCGAAGUUAUGAAUAAGUUGUCAAGAUACGAUGCAGCAUGCUUUUUUGCUUUCGGGAUUACGAAUUAUUUAUUAGUAAUGAUAUGUCGUUUUGUUUUCGUAUGUUUACUUCUUCCGGGAUUAUUUCUAGGUUUGUUAUAGGUAUAAUUAGGUGGACGCUUGCUAGUAAUACUUAUUUUGGUUGUAAUCUUUGACAUAAAUAAUAAUUGAUUGCUUUUUUAUGCACAUACAAAAGGGAAAAAAUGGAAUUUCGGCUCAUGACUUCCUGUUUUGGGUAGGUUUGCCAAGUUUGUUUCUGAGCUAUGCGCAAGUAUUAUAGGGAAUUUUCAGCUAGCUUCUUUGUUUAGAUUAGGGUUUUGGCAUUAUGAGGCGUUUCCGGGCUUAUUUAUGUGUUCCUUUCUUGUUCUGUUAUCUUGGUUAUAGGGCUCAUCAAGAAUGGCGACUGCUGAGGCAGCACCAGCGUCACUAGGGCCACGCUAUGCUCCCGAAGAUCCUACUCUGCCGCAACCUUGGAAGGGAUUAAUUGAUGGUAGCACGGGUGUUUUAUACUACUGGAAUCCUGAAACUAAUGUUACGCAAUAUGAAAAGCCUACUGCUGUUGCUCCUCCAUUGCCCCCCGGUCCACCUCCUUCAGCUUCUACCCCUACUUUGGCUCCAAUUCCAGGCGCUAGGACUACCCAAGCAAGUGAAGUCCAAAACCAGCAAAUGCAGGCCCAACAACAAGUACAACAAGUGAAUCCUCAUUUGCAGCAGCAGCAGCAGCAACAAGCACUGAUAUCACCUCAUAUUGUUCAACGGCAUAGCUCGCAAAUACCACCAACUGGGCAGCAACAGGGUUCACAGUUGGUUCCUUCUGUGGAACAACAGGGGCAGCUAACACCACAGCACCUUAGGCCACAGAUGUUGCAAUAUGUUGGUCAAUCAACGCCAUCGCAGUCGGGACAAGUACAGGUCCCUCCUGGAUCACAUGCUCCACAACAACCAAUGCAACAAAUGGGCCAGCAAACUCUCAUGUAUCAAGGUCCACCCGGAGGGAAUCCACAGACCCAUCAGUUUCCCCACCAACAGACUCAGUAUAUGCCAUAUCAACAGAAUGUACUUCAGCACGGACAUCAAAAUUCACAGCAACAGACUCUCCAAAGGCACCACUUUUCCCAUCAACAGGAUCACAAGAUGGGGUUCCCACCUCGGGAGGAUAUUGAUUCACAACAAGGAAAGCAAGUGGGACAUUCACCUGCACAGAUUCAGUCUAGUGCUUCAUCCUCAAUUCAAAAUCUUCCUGCUGGUAGUAGUUCCAUGCAGGCACCUCAGAUGGGUGUUCAACCUAAUCAAGCUACGCAGUUUGGUGGCUCCUCAGUCAACAUGCAGCAGCCUGCAUCUUUAUUACAGUUGCAGCAGGGUGCAAUGGAUUUGCUUCAACCUCAGCAUGGCUCGAGGUUUCAGAAUCAGAUGGGCCCCUCAAUGAUGCAUGCCCAACAGCCAAAGGGACCCCCAUUUGGACCAAAUGUGGGCUAUGAUGGAAGCCCUCUUGGAAGAGCUGGAAAUGAUUUGUAUUAUAACUCUAACAAGGAUGGCCACGUGAUGGCUCCUCAGCAGCCCAAGCUUGCUGCAAUACCAAUGGCAAGAAAUAAUCAGGUCCUACUCAAUAACAUUUUUCACCUUUCUUUCCUGUUAUAUCAACAUACAAAAGUAACAUUAUUCCACUUUCUUUUUUUCUCAAAUGAUUGAGCAAGGUUGCUGUAGACCCUGGGUGUAGUUUGGAGAAAUCAAAUUACAUUGACAUCUACCAUUUACUUCUUUAUAUAAAAUUGUUGGUUUCUUAUAUUAGGAGAUGAGGAGGGGGGAUGUUCACCUUCAAAAUGUCGUACCAAGUCAUCCUGGGGGACUGAGUGGUGUAACUGGGCCACCUAUGCAUGACUUAUAUGGUCAUGCAACUGGUGGUCCACUAUUUCCAAACGAUUCUUUCACAAGGCCUCCUCCAGGCAUUAUAGGACCCUCAGAUGCUAAUGCAACUCAUCUCUCGCCUGCUGAUGUUUAUCGCCAAAAGCAUGAAGUAACAGCAACGGUUCGUUAUUGAUUCGCUCAAUGCUAAAGAUGUAUAUUUGGUUGAUUUUUAUCAUUCACUGUUGUUUAUAAAGAUUUAAAUGGUUGAACUUGUCCUGUUAUUUGGUGCUUAUUGUGGGUCAUAAUUGAGUGGUAUGCUAGGGCCCGACAUCAGAUAUUCUGUAGGCCUGCAGGAUAGAGUGUGUGUCAGAAGAGCAAAUUUCUUGAAUUUUACAUCCCUUAUUUUUUUAAAAAAAAAAAUUGUUUCUGUUUCUGUUUGGAAGAACAAACUUCUUGAAUAUAACAUCCUUAUUUGUUUGGAUACUAGAGGAUAGGAUCAGCUGAUAUGGGAAAUUGAACUUGGUCAAGGGUAUAGACAAGCGAUACUAAUUUGGUUUUUGUGAAUAUAUUCUGAUUAUUAAGCUGUACUUUGUUUGCCACUGAAUUGUUUGGGUGUAUAAAGUUGUGCGUCCUAUCGAUUGUAUGGUCAUUGUCCAUUUAAAAGCACAUUGACAUCUCAACUAAAUUACACUAUAUUUUCCCCACACGUCCUUCACUAUUUCAUGGAGAAAUGAUACUUUGUGUUGUCUGCAUGAUAUCACGUUGAAUACAUGUCAUCUUGUUCUGCUUGUUGGUCCCUUACUGAUUAAGCUUUUUUUGUGGCUUUUUUACUUCAUUUACUGGAUUACCUGCUCAUUUUGUUUUUUUAUGCUGAGCCCUGUUUAUGUAUAACUAACUCUGAGUGUUCAUGUCUAUUGUUUGAUCAAAUUGCUCAGGGGGACAAUGUUCCUGCUCCAUUCAUGACUUUUGAGGCCACUGGUUUCCCACCAGAAAUACUGAGGGAGGUAAGUGCUUUCCCUGUAAGAAGCUAAUUGUGCAAGGGUGCAUAUAGAAGAUCUGAGUUCCAUUGUGCUCCACUUUUAUGUUUUUCCUCCCCCCUAAGCUUUAUUCUUCAGGCUUAUCAGUUUUCACUUGUCGCAGGUGCGAUAUCUGCUCCACAGGAGGAGCACAUGUCGUACGCUGCAGUGCUUAUGCUCAUACUUACGCCACAACUAUUCUCAGUUUUUGAGGCUGCAAAAUGGACGGUUGGAGCCUUCCUUGGCAGUUUCUUGAAGGGUGGUUGGCCCUUCAUCCAUAUUACAAUAUUUGUGUGACUGGGUUAUCUACCUUGUUGGCUCUGCCUCUUCUAUUUUAUUUGCUCCCUUUUGUUGCCUCAAGUUGCUUCAGUAAGCAACCACCCACCUAUGGGUUUCCUUUGGCAGUCCUUUCAUUUGUGUAAAAUUUUUUAUUUCCAAUUGAAAAUUUUGGUUUAGAUUGUGUCAUCAGAUUUUGUAUUGUCUGUUUGUUAAGGCUUUGUUUGACAUUUUCCUCUCAUAAUUUUCAAGGGGUUCAUUAUGUCAUAUUCUUCUUUCAGAUACAGUUGGCUGGUUUCUCUUUUCCCACACCAAUUCAGGCGCAAACUUGGCCAAUUGCUUUACAAAGCAGGGACAUAGUUGCAAUUGCAAAGACAGGUUCUGGGAAAACAUUGGGAUACUUAAUCCCUGCAUUCAUGCAUCUCAGAAGACUCCACAACAAUCCCCAGUAUGGCCCCACUGUGUUGGUUUUAGCUCCAACUCGUGAGCUUGCCACACAAAUACAGGAUGAAGCUAUCAAGUUUGGUCGAUCUUCCAGAGUUACUUGCACAGUGGGUACUUCAGUCUUUUUCUUAAGUGUUUGUGUUAAAUUCUACCUUACCUUUGGGCUGAUGGUCUAGAUUCAUUCUUUUCUUUCAGUGCCUGUAUGGCGGUGCUUCCAAAGGCCCUCAGCUAAAAGAACUGGAGAGGGGAGCAGAUAUUGUUGUUGCCACUCCUGGUCGGUUGAAUGACAUUCUUGAUAGCAAGAGGAUUGAUUUUCGGCAGGUCUCUUUUCUUGUGCUUGAUGAAGCUGAUCGAAUGCUUGACAUGGGUUUUGAACCUCAGAUUCGCAAGAUUGUUAAUGAAAUACCACCACGGAGACAAACACUCAUGUACACUGCUACUUGGCCUAAAGAAGUGAGAAAAAUAGCGAAUGAUCUUCUUGUUAAUCCAGUACAGGUGAACAUUGGGAGUGUAGAUGAACUUGCUGCCAAUAAGUCCAUCACACAGGUAAUGCUACAUUUUGGAUGUUACCUCUGUCAUCCAAAGAAAUGCCUGCCCUAAGACAGAUAAGUACAAGAAAAUUUCUAGGUGACGUGUGCUAGCUUAGAAGUUAGUAUUAUGGUUUUUGUCAUGGCUGAAUUUUUGGGUUGGUCCUAUUCAUGUUACAACUAACGAGGUGCUUUCUGCUCUAAUUACUGGUACUGUUGGCAAUCUGGAGUAAGUAAUUUUCUUGUGGUUGCCUGUUUAAUUUUAACCAAGUCAACUUUGAGUGGUCAACCAUGUAUUUUAAGUAUAAUGUAAUUUUUUAGUGUGCCUACUUUCUAUAGUUUUUCCUCUUUUCUUUCAUUUUUUUUUUAAAUUUUGGUAAUAAGUGAGGUAGUUUUAUGAUGGGGCACGGGAAGAGUGCAGUCCAUGCAUGUAAAUGGCACUUAUCUGGAAGAUCCUGUGAGUUACUCCUUAUAACCUAAAAUAGCAUCUGAGCUGAAACUAUGGGUGUGUUUUUCUCUAUUUAGUUUGUGGUGGAUUUGUUGACUUGAACAGUGGAGUUUCUGGUAUUUUGACCAGAAUGUGUCAAAAUUUGUCGCUAGGCUAAGCCUUACCUUUUUUUGUUGGUGUCAUUUGGUCAAUAAGUGAAAAAAAUGUCAAUUGCAGUAUGUUGAAGUGGUCCCUCAAAUGGAGAAGCAGAGACGCUUGGAGCAAAUUCUUAGAUCCCAAGAACGGGGUUCCAAAGUUAUCAUCUUCUGUUCAACAAAAAAGUUGUGUGAUCAGCUGGCACGUAGUAUUGGUCGCAACUUUGGGGCUGCUGCAAUUCAUGGAGACAAGAAUCAGGGCGAGAGGGAUUGGGUUCUGAAUCAAUUUCGAUCUGGGAAGACCCCAAUCUUAGUGGCCACUGAUGUUGCAGCACGUGGGCUUGAUAUCCGAGACAUAAGGUGAGAAAGUAUCUUCUUUUAUGUAUUGACUAAUUUACUUUUUCAGGAUCAGUAAACAUUCUACUGCAAUUAUUUCUUUUUGUCCAGUUGUUAUAUUUCCUUUGGACUGUUUAGACCAAAGACCAUGGGUUUUAAUUCCUUAUCUGCCUUGUCCGAAUGCUCUAUCUUGCAGGGUUGUCAUCAAUUAUGACUUCCCAACGGGCAUUGAAGAUUACGUUCACCGCAUUGGAAGAACUGGCAGGGCUGGUGCUACAGGUGUGUCUUACACCUUUUUCUCUGAGCAGGAUUGGAAAUAUGCUGCGGAUCUAGUUAAAGUAUUGGAGGGGGCAGAUCAGCAAGUACCGCCAGAAGUAAAAGAUAUGGCUUUACGAGGUGCACCAAGCUUCAGCAGGGAUCGAGGUGGGAUAAAUCGUUUUGAUUCUGCUGAUGUUGAUGGUGGUGGUGGACGUUGGGAAUCUGGUGGCCAUGGUGGGAUGAGGGAUUUUGGCUCUGGUGGCCGAGGUGGGAUGAGGGAUAGUGGCUUUGGUGGCCGUGGAGGGAUGAGGGAUGGUGGCUUUGGCGGUCGUGGUGGGAUGAGGGAUGGUGGCUUUGGUGGCCGUGGUGGCUUUGGCAACCGUGGUGGGAUGAGGUACGGUAGUUUUGGUGGCCGUGGAGGGAGAGACGGUGGAUUUGGUGGUGGUGGUGGUGGCCCUGGUGGUUGGGAUAGGAAUGAUCGUUAUAGCAUGGAUGGGCGAGGGCGUGGUAGGGGACGUGGACGGGGCCGAUUUGAUAAUAGAAGAGAGAUUGGAGAUAGAAGUAGAGGCAGAAGCUACAGCUCCAGUCCUGAGAGGGUACGAACGUGGGGUUAUAGCAGGAGCAGGAGCAGGAGCAAGAGCCGAAGCCGAAGCAGGAGUAGGAGUUACAGUCGGAGCCACAGUAGGAGUAGAAGCUGGUCACGCAGCUAUAGCCCAAGGCGCAGCCGAAGCCGCAGCCCCAGCUAUGAGAGAUAUGAGAGGCGGCGACGCAAAACUAAGUUUGAUCAGAUGGAUGUGAACGUUCCAAAUGCUGAUGUUCCUUCCGAGUCAGGUAUGUCUCCCAUGUCUCCAGGCAGACAGGGCAACGGAUUUUCUGGGUCUGGGGCUAUGCCUGCGCCUGCGCCUGCGCCUGCUGUGCAAGUACCUUUUAUUUCAAGCACUGAUCCUGGCACCACUGGAUCUCAUCCUACCAAUCCAGGCAUCGAUCCAG
rnacentral:lncRNA from 1 species